UUGUUGGUGGUCGGCGGGGUAGAGGGAGGCCUAGGAAGCAUUGGGGAGAGGUGAUUAGGCAGGGCAUGACUAGUAUGCAGGUUACCGAGGACUUGACCCUUGAUAGGGGAGUCUGGAGGUCUAGAAUCAGGGUUGCAGGCUAGGGGCUCUUAGAGUACUUCGUUCGCCCCACCCGGAGUUGGGUGUGGGAUAGUAGGGUUAACCGUAGAUGACUAGUGUUUUAGCGUAGGUCCCCUCUUGGUUGGUAAUAUGAUAGUUGUCGCUUGUUAUUGUCGCAUGCGACGGUAUUUUUGUUUCUUAUGUUUACAUAAUCAUUUUCGUUAUUUCUGCAGGAUUUCUUAUGCUUUCUUUUGUUAUUGUGUUUUGUCUUGUCCUGGUUCCUAACUUUAUCUUUGUUUUCCAAUGCAGCUUUUCAUUCUGUCCUAUGCGCCGAGGGUCACUUGGAAGCAGCCUCUUUGCCCUUUUGGGUAGGUGUAAGGCUGUCUACAUAUUACCUUCCACAGACCCCACAUGGUGGGAGUAUACUGGGUAGUUGUUGUUGUUGUUGUUGUUGUAACAUGACUGUUAUUACAAAAAGGCAAAAACUACAAAGGCAGUCCCCACGCAUAUUCCAAACUAAAGCAUUGCCAUGGCUAAUAUGAAAGCAACCGUGACGAUAGUAAAAAAAAAAAAAAGAAACCCGUCCACAAUUGCACUUGAAUUGUAAACAACUCAAGCAUGCUGAGAUUAACAAUACUGCCUUGAUCCGCAGCUAAUACUGAAAACACAACGUGAAAAUCAAAUGGAGCUGCCUAAGUCCCACCUGCAAUAAGCACCAUCACUAUUAUCCACGAAAUCCAUAGUGUUGGCUCAUUCUGUGUUCUUGGAGAAUUCUUCUGUGGUAUAUUCGAUAUUGUUCUUAUAAUACUUCUGCCACCUUUAUCACAAGGUUGUAUUAAAGUGGAAGAAAUAAAUUUUAAGUUUACAAAUAUACAGUUGAGUCUGACAUUGAUUUGUAAUUUUCUGUUAUUAACUUUUCCCGGAUCCCUCCCUCAACAAUAAGAACACUAAUCUAUUUCCUUAUUAUUUAUCCAUUCCAACAAUAGUGAAGCAUCUUUAGAAAAAAACAACAAAUACAACAUCAACAACAUUAAAUCAACUUUAUAAACUAGCAAGAUACAUUACAUGUAAUCGUAUUUUAGUUUUACCAAUAUACAGAAAAUCGUCCCAAAACUCUUGUAAUUUCCAUUUCAGUUGUUAAUUUUGUUUUGUGUGACUAAGGUAAUAAAUUUGUCUAAGAAAAUUGCUUUUAUUAUGCAAAUUUAACAGUGCAAAGUAAUCUUUGACAGUGGUAUAUGCAUAUUAGUUCUAAUAUACAUGCGUUAGAUGUCAAAUUUUGCUUCUGUAUAAAAGUGUGUAGAACGUAUAAUAAAAAGGGAAAAGAGUCUAAAAUGCCCUUCAAUUAUCAGCGUAGAUCUAAAAAUACCCUUCAUCCACCUAUUGAGCCAAAUAUGCCCUUCCGUUAAUGUUUUCAGCUCAACAAUAGCCUUUGUUAAUUUUUGUGGCUCAAAAAUGCCCUUUAAGUUAACGGAGGGACACGUGUCAUCCUCUUGUUGGCUCAUUCUAAAUAUUUCUUAAUUUAUUAAAAAACUCAUUAUUCAUACAUGAAAAAUAAUUUUCUAAAGCAAUUAAAAAGGAAUUUCUUUCUCAAUAUUUACAACAAAAAAAAUCUAAAAUACUUACAAAAAUUUAUUUUAAAAAUCUGUUUUUUUUUAAAAAAACUAGAAAAGAAUCCUUUUUUCUUUAGUUUUUAGUAGAAAACUCGAUUUUUUAAAACAUUUUUUAGAAAAAAUUGUUAUACACUUUUUUUAAAACUAGAUUUUUUUGUAAAAACUGUGUUUUUUAGAAAACUGUAUUUUUUUAAACUGGAUUUUCUAAAAAUCUUUUUUUAGAAUUUUGUUUUUUUAAACUCGAUUUUCGAAAAAACAGAUUUUUAAAAAUCCAGUUUUCUAAAAAAAAAAAAGAUUUUACAAAAAAAUAAAGUUUUCUAAAAUCCAGUUUUCUAAAAAAAAAAACCAAUUUUUUUUAAAACAGUUUUUUACUAAACACUAAAGAAAAAAAGGAUCUUUUUCCAGUUUUUACAAAAAACAAAUUAAAUUUUUGUAAGUAUUUUAGAAAGAAAUAUUUUAAAUUUUUUUAUUUUUUUGUAAAUAUUGGGGGGGAAAAUUUCUUUUUAAUUGCUUUAGAGAAUUAUUUUUCAUGUAUGAAUAAUGAGUUUUUUAAUAAAUUAAGAAAUAUUUAGAAUGAGCCAACAAGAGGAUGACACGCGUUCCUCCGUUAACGCAAAGGGCAUUUUUGAGCUACAAAAAUUAACAAAGGUUAUUGUUGCGCCAAAAACAUUAACGGAAGGGCAUAUUAAUAAAUUAAGAAAUAUUUAGAAUGGGCCAACAAGAGGAUGACACGUGUCCCUCCGUUAACGCAAACGGAUUUUUGAGCCACAAAAUUAACAAAGGCUAUUGUUGAGCCGAAAACAUUAAUGGAAGGGCUUAUUUAGCCCAAUGGGUAGAUGGGGGGCAUUUUUAGACCUAUAGUGAUACUUGAAGAGCAUUUUAGAUCCUUUUCCCUAAUAAAAUGAAUUAUGAAUAUAAACUUGUACUCAUAAUAAGAUUUGAGCAAAUUAGGAAGAUUAUUACCUUAUGCAUCAUGCUACAAGUUUGUCGGCCAAUAUCUAAGUGUAAUUUAUUUAUAAAAAUUUUUUAUAAUAUAUUUAUUUAUAGAUUUACACAUUAAUAUCAAUUAUAGAUUCAAAGAAAGACUUGAACCAAGAAUAAGAUUGAUCAGAUUAGAAAAAUUUAUUUGCUUAUGAACUAACGGCACAAUAUACAAUAAUUAGUUUACAUGAGUUGAACAACACACACGGUUUGUUUGGCUAAAAAGUUAUGUAAAUACUUAUUAGGCUCAAGAACAAUUGAAAAUAAUGAGGGUUAAUCGCAAUCAAGAGUAAUAUGAACUAGAACAAAUCGGAUAGCUAAGAUCUGUAAUAAUAGUAAAGAUAGCUUGAGAUGUAAGAACAAUAAGGUAAGUAAUAAUCUUUGCACAAGAGAGAGAGUGUGUGUUAUAUAUUCUGAAUGGCAAAAUACACACAAGUCUUUACAAAGGGAAGGUCCCCUUUAUAUAUUAAGGGACCUUCCUCGAAAUAAUCAAAGAAAAUUACAAGGGUUGGUGGCCUCAGUGUACGAGAGAGUCGGAGCUUCAAAUGACGUCGUCUUGAGUCUCGGUCCUUUCACUUACUGGGGCCGACCUUACUCAAGUCGGCCUCAAUUAGGCCGCUCUCUACGUCAAGGGCGUGCGUAGAUAACACGAGAACAUAUGAAACCAAAUUUUCCCAAUACAAAUAAUCCCUCCAUUUUGUGGGGACGUAGCCGAGAGACGUCUUCAACGGACGGAUAUACGUGCUCGUCCUUUCUAGAAAUUUGGUCGUACCUAGUGAUACUGCGGAAAAGGGCGUGAUCAUAUGCGAACGUGUUAUGCCGUUGACAUAUAACCUCCUUUUUAGGAUGACAUCAUCGAUUACGUGUGUAAUCAUUACUUUUGAUCCAGAGGCGGUUCGGUCCAUGACGUGACGUUUUGGUUUCCCGCGUCGGUUUUCAAAUCAUGCCUUUUCGAUUUCUGUGUGCCUUUUCUUACAAAUAGAGGGGAGGUUGAACCCAAUUCAUCUUUCGAACUUUUUCAGAGAGUAUUUCCUCAAUCUUUUCCUCAUCUUUUUCUAGUACUCGUUGCUCUUUUCUUUUACAAUUUUCGUUCCUAGGAAUCGAACCCGGUGUCCCCCAAGCGCCUUUCUCUUAUAACUUCCAUCAUGGUUAAGCGCCGCCGCGGUAGUACCAGGACCAAGGAUGAUGCCCCUUCUUGGGUUUCACCGUCUUCAGAUGCUGGGGAAGCCGAGGAGGUUCUCGUUCCUCUAUCAACGUCCAACAUACUCCCAUUGGACAUGGACACAUGGAAGGAUUUUAAGAACUAGUGUGAACUUCCUCCUUGGAAACUCAGCGAGUUGACGCCAUAUCACUUGGAUGCUCUCUGGAAGUCGUAUGAUAUUCCUGAUUACAUUGAGGUGGCUCCCGCCGGGAUGGACUAUGCUAAUGUGCACAUGCCUGGAUAUUGCACAUUCUACGAGUAUGCUUUUCGGAUCGGGUAUAGUUUCCCGCUCAAUCCUCUAGCAGAGGAGCUUUGUCGUCUGUACGGGGCGUGUCCGGCCCAACUUACCCCGUAUGCGCUAAAGGCGUGUAGGAUUCUUACCACCUAUGCGGCUAAGGCUGAGAGGGAGGUCUCUGUUCAACACCUCCUGCAAAUGUUCAACGUGAGUUUCAUGAGAGGCACCAUGCUCCAGUUAGUACGUCGGGACAAGAAGAGUCUUGUGGUGCAAGUUUAUGACAAGGCCAGUCGUAAAUUCUGGAAGAAAUUUUUAUAUGUGCGUACUGAACACCUAGUGUCUUACCCCGAAGAGUUUCCAGAGGCAUGGAACGAAGCAUGUACGCAUUCAUGUACGUAGUUUUUCGGUAAUCUUAUCUUGCUGGCUUUAACCGUUGUAGAUUUCUUUUCACCUUUAUGUAGUGACAGCUCACCCUCCUCGAAGGAUUGAUGACAUUAGGUCGUGGGUGCGAGCACUGAUACCGUUUGCGGAAGAAUGCCGUACCUGUCCAGAAUUCCUUAAGCUCUAUGGCCCGGCAGAUAACAGCCAUGCUUGAUUUUUCCUUUCCGUUCUGUCUUGGGGGUCCCCCAUAAUUUCCCUUGCUCAACUCAUACAUGUUUUGGUAGGUCGGGAUGCUCCUAAGAAGGUGCAGAAGAAGAAGAAGAAAAUUGUGGCCGCCCCCUCUAGGGCGGUAUCUAAUUCUGACGAGCAGGAUAAGAUCCUCACAGGUACGUCUAGGGGAAGUGCUUCUCCCCCAUCAAGACAAGAGGUCGCAUCUGAGUCGGCUCCAGAGCUUGUGUCUGAGGCAGUGUCUGGGGCCAUACCUGAAAGGACGCUCGAGGAGAUACCGGUGGUUGUGCCUGGGACCGUCCCUGAGGUUGCCCUCAUAAGGAUGCCCACUAUCGAACCGACGCCAUACGAGCCUGACUUGCGUCCCACGGAGGGGACCUUGAAGAGGAAGAGUCGUUUGAGAUAAGAAGAUGCCAAAUUCUUACUAGCAAGCCGGCGUCCACUCAGAUAGAGAAGGUUAAAAUACCCCGCCCUGAAUCUAGGCCGAUUUUUAUGGCUGAGGCCAUUCGCUCGGGGAGGUCCGCUCUUAGGCGAGAGGCCUCUACUAACCUCCGCUCGACACGUGCUUGGAGUGGCGGGUCGCGGGAGGCCGUGGGAAGAAGGGGCGAAAGUGUGGACGUGGCGGGCCUAGAUAUCACCAUUGAGGACGCGGGCAGAGAAGGCGAAUCCUUGGACCAAGUGGAGAUGGUGGCUGGCCAGUCUUCCUAUCGCAUAGUGAUUCCUAGUCAUUCUAAUUUGUUGGAAAAUGCGAGGAGGCGGCCACCAACAUGACACUUUUAUGUGCGGGUGUUGAGAGCGCGGCUCUGGCGGAGCUCAACGACAAGGAUUUGUCCUGAAGAGUGGCGGGUGCAGCCUUGCAGGUAUGUCUUUUGUCUUGAUUGAUGACUUUUUCUUUUGCAUUUGUUGAGGGUGAUUUUCCUUGCACUUACUUUUCGGCUUUUUCCAAACUCUUAUCUUGGAGGCGGAGAGGGGUCGACGCUUGAUGAAGAAGAAGAAGAAGAAGGUGGACAAAUACAAUAGGUUGGUGCAGAAAUACAACAGGACACGUGAGGCGCACCAGAUCUUUGCUGAUAUGUACAAACAUGACCCUAACUUCAGGAUGAUCCAUGGGGGCCUUGUGCAGUCCGAGGAGUAGUUGAAAAAGAGGGUGGCUGAGCUGGAGAAAAUUGACAAACAAUUCAUGGCCGCUGUUGCUCGGACUGCAGAGAUGGAGGUCCUUAUUCAAGCUAAGGCCUAGCCCUUUCACACAUUUGGAGAUGGUCGUAUCCCUUUCAUACAUUUGGAGAUGGCCGUAGCCCUUUCAUACAUUUGGAGAAGGCUGUAGCCCUUUCAUACAUUUGGAGAUGGCCGUAGCCGUUUCAUACAUUUGGAGAUGGUUGUAGCUCUUUCAUGCAUUUGGAGAUGGCCGUACUAAUGCAGUUCAUGUAUCAUGCCGGGCUUGGAGAGUACGCGGAGAGGCUGAUAUGAUACACUUGUACUGCAAAAAUCUCCAGGCGUUCCCUUCACCGCCUCGUUAAAAUCCUUCCGAGAAAAGCAAAUUGGGACAAAACCCGGGUAAGGGAAAAAAGUACGACUUAGGGGACGCCUUUUAGAAGUGGAAAUGUUUGAGGUGAGUGAUGUUCCAAUUGUUCUGGAGCGUUUUUCCCUCUAUUGUCUCUAGUUGGAAUGAUCUUUUCCCGGCUACCGCUGUGAUCUUGUAGGGUCCUUCCCAGUUUGUGCCCAGUUUUCCUUCGUUUGGGUCUUUGGAGGCCAACGUCUUGGCUUUGAGGACGUAGUCUCCUACUUUGAGUGACCUUAUUUUUUCCCUUUUGCUGUAAUAUCUUUCGAUUUGUUGUGUUUGGCAUACCAUCCUGAUGGGGUCCAUUUCGGUUCUUUCUUCGGCUUCAUCAAGAUUUUGAAGUCCCUUUUGUUCUAAUAUCUUUCAGCUUGUUGUUUUGAGCUACCAUCCUGAUGUGGGACAUUUCCCUUCUUUCUUCUGCUUCAUCAAUAUCUUGAAGUCUGCUGGUGUCGUUUUCUGUUCCACUGGUGUGCGAAUACCUUAGGCUGGGUUUGCCUACUUCGACCGGUAUGACCGCAUCAGUUCCAUAAACUAGUGAGUACGAGGUUUCUCCGGUGCUGGACUUGGGUGUACUUCUAUUAGUUCGGGCCAUAGCCCCUUGGCAUCUUCACGAUUCUUUUUCAGUAUGCUCAGAAUUGUUUUGUUGGAGGACUCCGCUUGGCCGUUGGCGGGGGGUGGUAUGGCGUGGAUAGUAUCCUUUUGAUGCGCCAUUUCUCGAAGAACUCGAUCGCUUUUUGACCGAUGAACUGGCGCCCGUUAUCACAGCUGAUUUCUUUGGGGAUGCCGAAGCGGCAUAUGAUUUUAUUCCAUAUGAAGGCGAUCACUUCUUGUUCGCGUAUUUGCGCGUACGCACAUGCUUCCACCCACUUGGAGAAAUAGUCAGCUAAAACAAGUAAAAAUCGUACCUUUCCUCGUCAUGCGGGUAGCGGGCCGCCCAUUCCCCAUUUGAUGAAUGGCCAGGGGGAAGUGACGGAAUAGAGGGGUUCUCCUGAUUGGUGUAUCAUUGAGGCGUACUUUUGGCAUUUCUCGCAUCGGCGGACAUAUUCAGCUGCCUCUUUUUUCAUGGUGGGUCAGUAGUAGCCGGCACGUAUGAUGCAUCGCACAAAGGCACAGUUUCUAGUGUGAGCGCCACAAUGGCCUUUGUGUACUUCUUCGAGUACCGACCUCGUUUGGUGCGGCCCUAAGCAUUUGACUAGGGGCCACCUAACGUCCUUUUAUAAAGGUCAUUAUUGAUCAUGCAGUAUUAGGCGACCUGUAUGCGAAGCUUUUUCGCCUCCUUUUAUCGGGGGUAAUGUCCCGUCCUGUAGAUAAGAUAUGAACUGGUUGAGCCAGUCCCAAGUUAGGUUUAAGGAAAGUACCUCGGUGUGUUCAAUGGAUGAGUGGAGGAGCAUGACCCCACUUUCUUUGUCGAAGUUUUAAGUGCAGCCAACUUUGCCAGGCCGUCCGUUUUGAUGUUCCGUGCUCGGGGAACUUGUUCAAAGCGGCAUUCGUCAAAUGUAGCCAUCAGUUUGAGGAUUUUUGUCUGGUACUUUUGUAGCCUCUGCUCUUUGACUUGAUAAGUCCCAGUGACCUUGUUUACCACAAGUAGGACUCGCAGUGGAUGAGGAUUCAGUGAGCCCCGUACUUGGUGACCAGUUUCAUGCCUGCAGUAACGGCCUCAUACUCGGCCUCAUUGUUAUUUAUUUCCUGGUAUCAUAUGGACUGGCGAAUUGUCGCCCAUGGGGACCUCAAGAACGAAUCCCAGUCCUGACCCCGAUGCAUUGGCGGCGCCAUCCGUAUAAAGGACUCAUAGGUCAUUAUUGGAGGAUGCGCAUUGUGCCUCGAGUUCUGCCUUUGGUAGGACUUCCGCACCGAAGUCAGCAAUGAAGUCGGCAAGGACUUGCGACUUGACGGCGGUCCUUGGAAGGUAUGUGAUAUCAAGCUCGUUGAGCUCAAUGGCCCAUCUGGAGAGUUGUCCUGAGAGUUCGGGUUUGUGUAAGACACUUCUUAAAGGGAAGGUCGUUACUAUCCUUAUGGGGUGGCAUUGGAAGUAGGGUCGUAGCUUCCGUGAAGCUACUACGAGUGUCAAUUCCAGCCUCUCAAGGUGUGGGUACCAGGUUUCGGCGUCCACUAAUGUUUUGCUAUUGUAAUAAAUAGGAGACUGCGUACCUUUAUUUUCGCGCACUAGGAUGGCGCUGACCGCGACUUCCAAUACGGCCAAGUACACCAACAACGGUUCGCCUGGGUUGGCUUUGACCAGUAGGGGUGGCGAUAACAGAUAUGCCUUCAAACUUCUCAGGGCGUCGACGCAUUCUUCGUUCCAUUGUAGUCCCUAGUUUUUUUCAAUACACCGAAUAAUUUGUGGCACCUGUCGGAGGAGCGUGAGAUGAACCUGGAGAGGUCGGCUAUUCGACCUGUCAGCUUUUGCACUUGUUUUUUGCUGCUUAGUAUUUCUGGGAUGGUUUCUAUGGCCUUGAUAUUGUCUGGGUUGACUUCGAUGCCCUUUUGUGACACCAGAAACCCCAUGAACUUUCCCGAGGCUACGCCGAAGGCGCACUUUUCAAGAUUCAGUUUCAUACCGUACCUUCUUAAUAUUUUGAAGGCUUCUUUAAAGUGAUCGAGGUGGUCCUCUUUUUUCGGCGACUUCACUAGCAUGUUGUCAAUAUAAACCUCCAUCAUUUUUUUGAGUUGCUCUUUGAACAUCGUAGUCACUAGCCUCUAGUAUGUAGCCCCCGUAUUUUUUAGCCCGAAAGGCAUUACCCUGUAGCAGUACGUUCCUUGGUGAGUGAUGAAGGUCGUUUUCUCCUGAUUUUCCUCGACCAUCAUGAUUUGAUUGUAGCCGGAGUACGCAUCCAGGAAGCUUAACAGCCAAUGGCCUGUUGUUGUGUCUAUCAAUUGGUCAAUGUGGGGCAAUGGGAAAGAAUCGUUUGAACACGCUUUGUUUAGAUCGGUGAAAUCCAUGCACGUCUGCCACUUCCCAUUUUUCUUUUUGACCAUUACAAUGUUGGAGACCCAUUCUGGAUACUUGGACUCCUUAAUGGAACCGUUCACCAGCAGCUUGUCUACUUCUUCACUUAUUGCUUCGUUGAUGGCGGCAUUGAAUUUUUUCCUUACCUGCCGCACGGGCGGUUGUAGCGGAUAGACAUUCAGUUUGUGGGAGGCAAUUUAUCGUGGAAUCCCUAGCAUAUAUGCAUGGGAAAAAGAAAACAGGUCUGCGUGGUUAGAUAGAAAUUCAUGAUACUUACUUGGAUUAGAAAGGUCGUGGCUUAUAUAAGCCUUCUUUGUGGAAUUGAUGUUGCUCAGGUGGAGGGGGUUGAGGUCUUCAACCGUGGCCUUGUUAGCCUCAACAUCGUCAGGAUCUUUGAUAGCGUACUCUAUCGGCUGGACCUUAGUCCCCUACAGGGCUGAUUGUUAUGCCUCCGCACUCGCUCAUUUGAGCUGUUUGGUGUGAGUGUAAUCUUGAGCUAUUUUAUAACACUCUUGGACGGUGCGCGGCUCGCCACGUAUGUUGUACACCCCCCACGGGGUAGGGAAUUUGAUCACUUUAUAGAAACUGGAGGGGACUGCCCUCAUGGCAUGUAUCCAUGGAUGUCUGAUGAUGGCGUUGUAUGUCAUUUCUUGGUUCAUUAUGUGGAAAGUGGUUUCCAUCAUAACUCUUCCUUCCAGAACGGGUAGCGUCACAUCUCCAGAGGUACUUUCCACUGCAUUGUUAAAACCAGUUAGCAUUACACAACGUGGAAUUAUCUUAUCCUCGAGUCCCAUUAGUGCAAGGACUCUUGGAUGAAUGAUACAUGUGCCGAUGCCGUCGUCGACCGUGAUCCUUUUAACUCAGUAUCUACUAUGCGUAAAGUAAUAACUAAAGAGUCAUAAUGGGGGAAAAACAAACUGUCGGUAUCAGACUUAUCGAAGGUGAUACUAUUUUCGAAGUCGUCAUACCGUUCGUGAGCGAUGGUUCGCUUUAAUUUGUGAGUGGCGGUGAAUUUGACAUGGGUUAUUUCUGAGUCAUUGUCGUCCCCAAUGAUCAUGUUGAGGGUGCGUGUUAGUGAGGGCGGCUUGGUGGGUCGUGAAGUUGUUCCCGCCCACGUGCGAAAUUGAGUUUUCCAUUGUCGCUGAGCAGUACUUUCAAGAAUCCUUGGUUCAACAUCUGGACCACCUCCUACCGGAGACCUAUGCAGUCUUCGGUUCUGUGCCCCCGUUCCUGGUGGAACUCACAUAGGGCAUUUGAUUUUCUGGUGGCGGAGUUGGACUUCAUCUCCACUGGCCAUUGUACUUUAUUGCCCAGCUUCUCCAGUGCGUACACUGCUUCUGAAGGAGAUACACAAAAGUUAUGUGUAGAUAGUAAAGGAGGCAGACCUCUUUCGUUCCUCAAUGGUGCGACAUGUCUUUGUAAGGCGUCUGCGUGCCUUGGUGGAUGCUAAUAUCUGAUGUACGGUUGGUGCCUCUCCCUGUUAAGGCAUGGGACUUGUUCACGUCGUUCCUCGCUGCGUCCGUCUCUUCGGAUUUCUGGGUUUACCGUUAUUAGCCGCCUGGUCGGGCCAUUAAGGUCGUCGUCGUCUCCACGUACCUCGGCGCAGUAGCAUUGUGAAUUUAUUCCCAGUUGGUGGGGGGAUAUUUCAUAAGAUGGCUAAGUAGUUUUCUGGUCACUCGUGAGCAGUCCCUGCUGAGUUCGUUCUGAAAAGUUGCGACUGUCAUGCUUUCAUACACGUUUGGUAGGCUCAUCCUGACCCUGUUGAACAUGGAUAAGAACUCUCUGAGCCCUUCUCCUGAGACCUGUCGGACAGAAAAAUGUCGUUGACGCGUGCUUCUGCUUUCUUGGCUCCUGCGUGGGUGGUGAAAAAUUUUUCUGCCAUUUCCUUGAGCGUGGAGAUGAUUUUAGCCGGUAGCUGGGAGUACCACGUUAGGGCCCCUCCUGUUAGUGUUUCGCCGAACUUCUUCAGAAGUAUGGAUGGUACCUGUUCCUUUGAUAAAUCAUUACCUUUGAUUGCCGUGACGUAGUGAAUCAGGUGGUCCUCGGGAUAUUUGAAGGAACUUGGCCUAUGGGGCCCCUCCUGUUAGUGUUUCGCCGAACUUCUUCAGAAGUACGGAUGGUACCUUCUCCUUUGAUAAAUCAUUACCUUUGACUAUCGUGACGUAGUGAAUCAGGUGGUCCUCGGGAUAUGAGGUAUCGUCAUAUACCUUCAAGUAGAGGGCAUUUUGAAGGUCUUUGGGAUGGGGUAUGGUGCAGCUCUUUCUGUGUAGGGUUGUUCAACGAAUCUCCCCACGUCUCGCUUUGGCAGCAACUUAGGUGCACCCAGGAUCUUGUCCACUCUUUCUUUGUGCUCUUUCAUUUGGUCACGAAGCGACCUAUUUUCGUUUUCGAUUUCCUCCAUCUUUAUGAGGAUGGGUGUGAGUGUCCCCCGUGAGCUUGAGCAUUGGCGGGCACGUUGUUUGUUCGUGUGACCUCGAGUUCAUCUUCAAUUACGACAUGGUCUGUCACUGGUGUUGGUGUGCAUCUAGCGUUUUGGGGUGGCUUCCCAGCUAAACUACUCAGAGCUUUUGUCAACCAUUCUUCUAGUAACCUCUUUACCUCUUGUGGUGCUUCUUUAGUUGUAGAUGUAGAAGCCUUUUUUUCUCGUGGAACCACCAGAUCUUCAGAAGGGGAAGGUAGGUUUUCCACGCUUAUUAGGGUACUAGGGGUUGUGUGUGGAGCAUCCCCUUCAUUAACCGUGUUUAAAGGGCGCAUAAGAUCGGCUCUAGAAUCCAUGAUAGCUUUCAUUCUUGCGUUGUUUUCAGCCAUUCUAGGUUGUAGAAAGUGGUUCUUGAAGGAUCUCUAGAAGCAAACAAAUGUGGAGCAUCCCCUUCAGCAGCCGCGUUGAAAGGGCCCAUAAGAUCGGCUCUAUCAUCCAUGAUAGUUUUCAUUCUUGCGUUGUUUUGAGCCAUUGUAGGUUGUAAAAAGUGAUUUUUGAAGGAUCUCUAGAAGUAAACUACAACUUUGAUUCACAAAAUUUCCACAGACGGUGCCAAAUUGUUUGGCUAAAAAGUUAUGUAAAUAAUUAUUAGGCUCAAGAACAAUCGAAAAUAAUGAGGGUUAAUCGGAAUCAAGAGUAAUAUGAAUUAGAGAAAAUCGUAUAGCUAAGAUCUGUAAUAAUAGUAAAGAUAGCUUGAGAUGUAAGAACAAUAAGGCAAGUGAUAAUCUUUGCACAAGAGAGGGAGAUAGUUGUAUAUUUUGAAUGGCAAAAUACACAUAAGUCUUUACAAAGAGAAUGUCCCCUUUAUAUAUUAAGAGACCUUCCUCGAAAUAAUCAAAGAAAAGCACAAGGGUUGGUGGUCUCAGUGUAGGGGAGAGUCAGAGCUUCAAACGACGUCGUCUUGAGUUAUGUCACUCGGCCUCAAUUAGGCCGCUCUCUACGUCAAGGGCGUGCAUAGAUAACAUGAGAACAUAGGGAACCAAAUUUGCCUAAUACGCCUUUAUUCCUUAAUUUUACCCAUUAUUUAAAUGUAAUUUAUUUACUUAUUCUUUUUUAUAAUAUCAACAAAAAAUUAUUUUUAUUUACAUAUUAAAAUUUAUAAAUUCAAAAGAAUAACUUGAACCAAAAAUAAGUAUUGAAUAGAUUAGAAGAUGCACCGACACCACAAUAUACAAUAAUUAGUUUCCAUGAAUUGAACAACACAUAGACCAUAAUUCUUCAAAUUUGCCUAGUAUUUAAGUGUAAUUCAAUUAUAAUUUUUUAAAAUAUCAAACAAAGGUUUAUUUACAAAUUUACGUAUUGAUACCAAACAAAGAUGUAUUACAAAUUCACAUAUCAAUACUAUAAAAAUUUCUUUACACAGAUUUUCAUGGAUAAAUAACUAUAAAUAUAAAAUAAUUUGAUAAUCAUGCAUGAAACAUCAUAAACACACUACAAACAAAUUUGGCUUCGAAUUCACACUAUCAUGAGUUUAUAUGAUCUACAUACGUUAAUCUUUAAACUGAUAAUCGUACAUGAGACAUUAUAAACAAAAAUAACAAUUGAAAAUAUUUUAAUAUGCAAUUGUCUAUCAAGAAUAAAUAAAUAUUUAUUAGUAUUAUAUAACUUCAAGAAAAAACAUAAACUUUAGAAGUUUAUUUCAGAUCACAAGCGACAACAAUGCUAUCAAAAGUUUAUGAUAACAAAAUUGGUUUUUUUAUAGAAGUAUUCAACUCCUUAUCCUAAAUGUCGUAAAGCUUUGAUAAAGAACAUGAAAAACAACUUCUUUUAGUGUUGCAUUUUAAAGCCAAACAAGCCUACGCCCAAAGCAGAUAAUUGAGCCCAUUUGGAUUGGCUAAUUUUAAGUGCUUUUAAGUUAUUUUGUAGCAUUUGAAUAAAGCAAAAAAUAAUAAUUUUAAGCACUUGUUUUUAAGCUAAAAUGAUAAAAGUAAGCCAAAAGCUAGAAUUCAUAACUUAUGGCUUUUGGAUUAAAAGUCACUUAAAACGAACUCACCCAAACAGGAUCAAUAUCACUAGUAGGCCCCGUGAUGUUACAGAUCAUAGCCAAUAGUGGGGUAAACCUCCGCGUUAAACUAAAUUUAGAUGAAUCUCACAUCUUUGAGAUAAUAGUAGAGCAAAACUUAGCAAGGAAGCUUAGUCCGUGAAUGGGAUAACACCCAAGACAAAUCCAACAUCGAUAGAACACAAGAGACAUGACAGGUAUACAAGGAAGCAACCUGGGCCUAAGCACAAAGCAUAUGAAAUCAGUAAUGGGCUAAACUAUUACCAUAAACGGGAGACUUUAUUGUCUCUGCUCAAUUUCUAUGUUUUGAUCAAAUCUUGAAAGAAACGAAAGAGAAUGAUCACAGGAAAUCAACACAAGUGUUACCUCCUCCAUCUCACAGAUAAUAAGCUAAGAGAUAAUAGAUUUUAUUGACAACAAAUAAUCAGCUAAAAAAUAACUGAUUCUACACACAGACUAAUAGUGACAAGUACAAGAAGUGAUAUUGACACAAUGAUAGAACAGUUUUACCUUCUGCUUGGCAGUAGUAUUGAAACGCAAGCUAAUAUGGUUUUUAAAUCUCCAUGUUAAAUAGAGGUAAGAAUAAAUUUUGGUCGUCACAGAAAAGGAAAAAGAUUUUACCUGUCAAGCAUCAGCAUAGGAAAGAAAGUGUUUCAGACAACAGGAAAAUUUGCAAUGUAACCAAGGGAGGAGUAAGAAAGCACCUAAAAGAAAUGUCCGAGUUCAUUUUAGUACAAAUAUUUUUGCAUACAAUUUUGCUGAUUUCAUAUAUGACAACAGUGCAGCAGCUGACAGAAAGACAUCCUCGUUACUUCUAUCCAAUGAGUUAAAAUUUUCUGUGGAGCUAUAAUAAAGUUUUGUGACUAAGUUCCUCAUUUAAUAUAAGAGAUAUAUAUAUUUAUGUUUGAUAAGACAACAAAAAGGAAGAGCAAGUAAAGGGGAUCAUGGAGAACAGAUAACUCCCUUCCUUUGCUCUACUGGAUGUGUGAAUGGCCGCUCUUUACAUUUGGCUUCAAAACUCACUGCAGUUUCUAACCUAAAAAUUUCCCUCCGACAAAACAGUCGCCCUUUUUCUGUUCUGGUUCCUGCACUGCUUCAACUGGUUUACGAGCUGCUGAAAUCAGCAGUUAGUGUUGUUCUUCAUCAGCCACUGCUUUCUCUGCACCACUAUCAUCUAUCUUUCCGUUGCACUCUUGUGUUUGUACUUCACUAUCCAUGUUAUCUUUCAGAGAUGCACCUGCAUUGUCCUUUUCUCUACUUCACUAUCCAUGUUAUUUUUCAGAGAAGCACCUGCAUUGUCCUUUUCUGAGGAAGCUGGAUUUUCAGCAGGAUUGUUGCCAGUGGCUGAAGCUCCAGAGCCUGGAGGAAGGAAAACGCCAGUGCCAGGGAGUGGAAGUCGAGGUGCGGGAUGCCUAGGAGGGGGUGCUGCCCAUCCACCUGAGGCAGGUGGAAGAGCAACUGGUGCAGGAAAAGCCAUAGGUGGUGCAACCGCAGCGGGAACAAAAAUUGGCUGGAUACCAUUUGGAGGAGCUAACUGUGAAUGAACAGCUGGAACAGGCAAUACGCCGGUUGUUGGCAUGGAACCAUAAUGCUUGGGCCCAAAAGGAUGACGGAUAUGAGUUUGGAGGAGCUAGCUGUGAACAAACAGCUGGAACAGGUAAUACGCCGGUUGUUGGCAUGGAACCAUAAUGCUUGGGCCCAAAAGGAUGACGGAUAUGAUUUGGUGACCUGCUAGGAGGAGGGACCCACUGGGAGGCAGGACCUCCUGCUGAUGAAGAGAAACGCUGACUAUCACCAGACUUGAAUCUUCUUGGAUGCACCUUUGUAAAGGUCACAAGUAUACGCUGCUUACGGAUGGAUGGAAUAGCAUGUCUAGCAAAAUCGGUUGAUCUUCCCUGCAUUACAAGUACGGAUCUGUGCAUUUUCAUAGCAGAAAGAUUCAGUAGAUGAUUAACCAAGAAAAACAAUUAAACAGACAAAAGUAGCAUAGUGGAAAAAGAGGCAAUGGAACAUAAAGUACCACGUGUGUGUGUGUGUGUUAUUUUUGCAUUCUCAGUCCAAAUAAGUGGGAUAAUCUUGAUUUUGGUCUCAUAGAAACACAUUAAUCCUUCUAGUAACUGCGUAACUAAUUGAAUGAGAUUUGCUGUGGCUUCUACAACCUUUAACGCUUCCCAUUUGCUGCCAAGUCCAUUAUGAAUCUUUUCACGUCCUAACAUGUCACCAUCACAGCAUUGCAAGUUACUGCAACCUCAAGCUAUUUUAGGAAGGGGGGUGAGGAUUUGUAGUAUUCAGUACAAAGUAAUUGGAAUAAGGGAUGUUUGUGGAGGUUUGAAGAAUGGAUGGAAGGAACAAAAGACAUGAAAAGUCCAUGAUAUUGUUAAAACGUCUUUCCAAUACCUAUAGCAAAAGGACUAAAUCUAUUCAUUGAAUACUAUUGAAGGUUUAAUGUGCUAGGCUGGAUAAUGUAGCAACUUAAUUUCGAACCAAGUUAUAUCAACGAAAAGUGGAAUUUCCACUAUACAUGCACAAGACAAACUAGUAAAUAAAACAAAAGAUAUAACAAACCAAACCAGAAAGCCCAAGGAAAGGAUUACCCUGGUGCAAAAGAAAGUUUGAGAGAGCCUCGAUAAUCGCCAGGAUGGUCCGCACCAAUCAUCUUACCGAAAGUCAUUUCACAUUCUGUCAAGAACAACAUAGCUACAGGCCGCUCGUACCAAUAAGGCCACAUAUGAGGUUGUGAGUGGUCCCCCUACAAUUACAAACAAUGUAUCAAGUCUGCUAAGCUUCCUAAACAAAAUCGCCAUGACCAUAAGAAUUAAAACUACUGCUUGUAACCUCAUUGAAGAUGUCAACAGUGCAAGCAUCUGGCUUUGCAGUGAAAACUUGCAUAGCACUCAGUCGUUCAAUAGCAUCUUGGAACAAGCCAGGAAUCACUUCCAUUUUCCGCUCUGCAAAAUUUUGAUUAACCCCAUAUAUACCCAAGAAAGCAAAGAUAUAUAAGUUUACCCUAUUUCAUAAAUGUUAAACAUGCCUUUAAAUGUUGCAAAGGCAGCUUCAUCUUCAGGAGGCGCAUCUGCAAUGGGUAGGCCCAACUGGAUCAUCUCCCUUCCGUGCCCCUUCAUUGGUCUCUUUGAGAUUAUGAAUGUCUGCGCUGCUUGUCACAACAUUUCUAAUCAUUGACAUCUAUAUUAAGGCGUCAGAUACAAAGGAUAGCACUUCAAUCACAAGAAUCUAAUAUCCAGAUGUGCUUUCUUAAUUAUUGCUCUUGCUCAUCUAGCAUUUGAAGAAUUUAAGAAUACUAGAGGAUGCACAGGACUCAGAUAUUUGGUAAUGAAGUCUCUGUAAUGGUAAACCAGCAUAAAGCGCACACUAAAGCUGCAUCUGCAUGGCAAUUGUUUUUCGACUGAGCGUUUUUCCCAGUUUAUAGUAGUCCUAACGAGUAAAAAAGUGUUAGCCCCAAGAAAGUAUUUCACACAAGUUUGGAGCAAACCACACCAGUUCUAUUGUUUAAGGAUGUAACUACACUCCUCUAUUCUAUUACUACAAAUAACAUGCUACAUGCCCAGAGAAAAUGUAAACCAUUUUCAAUUUUUACUACUAGUAACAAUCACCAGAGAACCAUGCCCCAGAACAACCUCAGCUACUAUCACAUGCUACUGAACUUUAGGUUCAACCAAAGACAUUGAGGAUUAGCAUCCUAAUCUUUUUAUCAGUAGAAAUACUUUUCUGAUAUAGAAGACUUCCUGAAAAAGUUACUUCAUUACAUUUUCUUUUAGAUAAGAACAGACUAAUCAAAGAUGAAGAUUGAGCAGAUGAAAAAAAGAAGGAAUAGUACAAUGCAAAAACUGCAUGAUAUAAGAUAUAAGAGACAAAGUAAAAGGACGAAGAAAUGAAUUUAUGAUCUUAAAUUUAUGUAAAAGACCUAGAAAUAUCUGAGGGCAGAGGGCCAGCUAGCCUACAGUUCGGAACUCGGUGGAUAAUGGGUUGUCCCUCUACCCUUCUCCACACUUAAAUACCGGCACUUUGUCUAUGGUAGAGUUCAAACAUGUGAAGUGCACCUAAUCCACACAUCACAUGUUUAUUUGCUUUGUUCAACAAAAAUAAAUGUGAGUUGGAUAUGCCCACUAAAGUUGAAAUAUAUUUUAUUCUAUUUUUUGGUAAUUCAGCUUAAUUUUGAAGUUCAUCCUCAGGCGACUGAACAUUUACACUAUUUCCCCCAGUAAUAGCAGAAAAACUCAAUCCUGCAUGGUCUAGCCCUGACAAUUUGGGAUUUGCAUUCAAAAGGCAAGUUCAGAGUAAAAAAAGCCAGCUUAUGACUUAACUCUAGUGAAGGCAUCGUCCGUAAUCUCCAAUGAUCUUGCUUCACAUUCCAAGAUAAAUUCACCCUUAAAAAGAGUCAUACAUAACUUAUCUCUAUUAGAGACAUUAUUAUUAGUGAAGCAUUCUGACUAUUGAAGUCUCACAACCUAACCAACAAACACACUGACUAAGGCAAUCCAUCUACAAUAUACUUCGCAGACGUCUUAUUUUCCCCAACAAUCCUUUUAUCAUGCUUAGAAAUAGUCUCAAAAGCAGGUCAGACACUUGGGUAAUACAUGCACACAACACAUCUAAUAAACCUGCAUACAGUCUAAAAGAAAAUAUUUUUUUGAUGGAGAAAUGAGAUGCAAAGAGGAUAUAUUUUACUGAGAAGCAAGAGAUGAGGAAAUUCUGGCAAAAGGUGCGAGGUUAUUUUCAAUUAUCCAGCAUCCAUGUCAACAUCGUGUUGUAUGUUUAAGAAGACACUUCAGGUUUCUGUAUGUGGUUCCAUCACACAUACUUCAGAACAUUAAUGUGCUUAAACCCAAUUCAACCCCCUCCCCCCCCCCCNNNNNNNNNNNNNNNNNNNNNNNNNNNNNNNNNNNNNNNNNNNNNNNNNNNNNNNNNNNNNNNNNNNNNNNNNNNNNNNNNNNNNNNNNNNNNNNNNNNNNNNAACAACAAAACAAAACGAAGGUUAAAAAGAAGCUAGUACUUUUUUAUUGUCACGUCACCACCCCAAACACAGAUAAAACUACUUACCAGAAAGCUGUCCUCUUCUCCCAGAAGCUCUCAAAUCAUUUACCAAAGUAAUAAGUUUUGAAACUUCUGAACUGCUUAGCAGUUCCUCGUACAGUUUCAUGCCAUCAACAACAUUAACCUACAGAAGACACCGCUGCAUCUUAGUGUAAGAACAAAGAGAUUUUAGUCUUGGUACUUAAAUUUUUUAUUUAUAUGUAGGAUUUCAAAUUGCACCAAGAAGGUGCUAAUAUGUUCAGUAAAAAGACUUCUGAUUCCCUUAUAUACAGGGCAUCCAACAGGUCAACAAAAGUAUUAGAUGAUAUGCAGUAUUCAAAUUAAAUCAAGAAUACAAAAACUGUAAUGUCCUAAACUUCAAAAGAUGUGUUGAUGUAUAUUUGUUCUCAAAUUAAAAAAUGAGCUAUAAAUUUUAUCACUACCGGUUUCCCAUCGCAUAUCUCUGUAGCAACAAAAGUUUUUGGUACAACUGCAACAUUCUGCUUCUCGUUUGGUACUUGGCUGGAUCGGGAUUCAUUCUCCACAUUCCAAGACCCUUAAAAGGUAAACAUGCAAAUGAGUAUUGAUUGAGGAUUAUAGUUAGCUAAGAUAAACAAGUAAAACGUAACAAGACCAUAUUAUUCGACACCCAUCACAAUCAAUGUCCACAAACAUAAACAACACAAGUAGGAAACAUAAUUCCCUUAAUAGAAGUAGUUGAUAUGGCUGAUCGGGUUGAUAAGGAGGGGGAGGGGGGUUUGAUUUGGGGGAGGGGGAUAUGUUAUAUGGCUUAUUAGUGAAUUAUAAAGCACGAUGCACUCCUUAAAAAUGCAGCUCGAACAAACAAUCGAAAUGUAAGAAGAUCUAAAUCAGAAAAAUAAACUGCGUACCAUCAGACUUUGAAUCACGUGUAUGAUCAGUUUUGUCUAUUUCACUUUGUGAGUCAGCAGCUUCUAUGCAAACUGAACUCUUCAUUGAGCUAUUUCCUUCUGGAUUUCCAACCAAUUCUGUUUCAUCGUAAGAGAAAAAGAGAAAAAAUUGUUUUCUUAGCUUACGAUGCAUAAGAGAAGCUACAAUAAACAUUUACGCAUUUGUAAUUAAAACAAAUGAACAAAUUUUAGUUCAUAUGGAUGUACUUUACUCUGGUUCACCCAUUGGUUUGCGACGAUGUGAUAAUAAGGAAGUUAUACAAUGUACAAAAACAAAAAUAUAAGUAAGCCUUGCAUCAAGUUAAAGGCAUAAAUUCCUUUCAAGUUCAGAAUAAUAACCAUUACAUGAUCAAAUGAUUUCCUCUAAAAAAUCUUAUUAAGCUUGAUCAUGAGGUACCAAUGGCCAGUUGAAGCAUGUAGCUUAGAAAACAAUUAAAAGAUAGAAUAUGAGUCUAGGGUAUGCCAAAAUUAUUUUGCUAAUUUUGAAGUGCAUUCAAUCAUAUGAAGCUAACUAAAGCAUUCAUUAUCCUUGCUUCAAUCAAGAUUCUGUCAUCCUAAUUAUCUUGACAGAAUAAUCUGCAAGACCCGAAUUAUAUUUACCACAAAAUACAAACUCCAAGACUCUUCCCAGUGUCCAAUUGCCUUAUGGAUGAUAAAACUAUAAAGCAUCUCAGCAAAAGAAGCAAAACCCCCGGCCCCCAGGCUAUACACAGAGAAGAGGGGUCACCGGACAUCGCUAAACUCGGCAAAAAUUCUAGAUAUAUAUGUGCAUAUAUGUUAAACACGUUUAUAUAUUUUGCCGAUGGAGCACUAGUUGAGCAAUCGGCUCAUGUGCCCCCACCACCUAGAAAUCCUGAUCACGCCUCUGCCCCCCACCCACCCCCCUCCUUUUCUCCCCUCACACUGAUAAUAAAAUAUCCUAGCAUUAGAACUUCUUCGAUUCACACUCAAUAGCUUGAACACAUAACUGCAAGCACUGAAUUGUUGCAGUUUAACCUUGAGAUGUCCACAAUACCCUUGUAACCAUCAGUUAAACUUGUUAACUCGCAUAGCAAUAAAUGCACAUUCUGCUCCGAAAUAUUUUGAAACACCUAGUAAAAACUAAAAGAUUAAGGAGCAGUCCCAGCUUGAAAAGGGUGGACCAGAUAUUGUUCAAACCAGGACACAAAUGAAAAGAGAAAAACUCACCUUGUCAUGGGCAGUUAUCGUGUGGUCAAUCUCACAAAAUUUUCGAAUUCACAGAUGAUUUCACUUAUUCUAAAGUGGAAAUUAUGGUUUUUAACAAGCAGCACCCAAUCCGCCUUUCCAUUAUUUAAUGUAAUCCCUUACUAAAUAGGUAAUAGCAAAUUGGAUUACACUCUUAUUAAGGGAAACCAACAAAUAUCAUUAUCAUUAAAUGGUAAUAAAUCCAAAUCUCCACAACCCACGAAUGCCAAUUUGCUAAAUUAUUAAUAAUCACCUUAUCUUGUCUCUUAACCAGUAAAUAGAAAAGUUAGCAAAGAUUCUGAAAUUUAACACUUCCCUAAUAGGUGAUCUAUUUCAAUUUCCUAAUAGGUGAUCUGUUUUUGUUUUUGUUUUUCCUUUGAGCCGAGGGUUCAUUGGAAACAGCAUCUCUGCCCUUUCGGGUGGGGGUAAGGCCCUUCUGCAUAUUACCCUCCCCAAACCCCACUUUGGGGGACUAUACUGGGUAGUUGUCGUUGUUGUUGUUGUUGUAAUGACUAAAGACCCUACAGAAUCACAUAUUCCUUCAAUCAAUAAAUUCCAACGAACACUCCUUUAAUCAGAACCCAAUUAUAAAAGGGUUUAAGUUCUAUGCAUUGGCUCUGUACAAAAUAAUUGCAAGCAACUUAUUUACUAAGCAUUCAUUGGUAACCUACAAUAUAUGGCAAGUUUACCUACUAUAAAAGGUUAAAUAACACUGGUGUUAUAGCAGAUUACUCAUCAUUUAUUUUAGCUUACUAAUUAUUGUUUAACAAAUAGAAUUCCUUUUAAGUAACCUGAUUGUGUAAAUCUUUUCUACACUUCCAGUGCGUAGUACUUAAACUAAAGACUUUCCAAAUAUAUGAUCAAUUUCAACAUAGUAAUCAACCCUAUGGAAUCACAUGUCCUUUAAUCAAUAAUUUCCAAGUAAUAGUCCUUUAAACACAAAAUACAUACACCAUCAUAUCUAAUACAUAAAAACGGAAAAUCUAGCAAGUAUAGCAUAAUCUCACCUUUCUUCUCCCCUUGCUUCACAUCUAUUUCUUUUUCUAUGACAUCAAUCUUUUCGACCCCGUUGGAUUUAGUAUAAAACUCUUUACUGUUAGCAUCCAUAGUAAAAUUAUGACCCUCACUUUUCCAACCCCCUCCUCCUCCUCCUCUAGACCCCCCACCAUUCCUCUUAUUAUUAAAUCCCCCCUUUUGCUGCUUCCUCCACUCAACCUGAUGCAAUGCAUAGAUCACUUCAGCUACUGAAAAGUACUGCUGCAUAUGCAACACAGUGCUCCAAUUCCCUCUCCGUUGUUGUACACAUCCAAUUACACCAUCAUAUUCACCUGGCUGCUCACCUACUAACCUUAAAUGAUGACACAAAGCAUCAAUUAUAGCAUUUGCUGCUGCAAAUUCACCUCUUAACCAUGAUAUAAACCCAUCCCUCUCAUCACCCAUAAACCACUGCUGCUGAUGUGGCGGUGGUGCUACCGCCUCUCCUCCACCACCGCCGUGCAUUUUCUCCGGAACUAACGUGGCAUUUCCCGAUUGCAUUAUUAACGUGUCUAGUACUAUCUACUACUAUCACUGUAUAUUAUUAUUAAUCUUUUUUAAUAGAUCUGAUAAAAAAACAAAAAGGUGUUGUUGUAAAUAGCAAAAUAAGUAUGGGAAUGUUGAAUUCCUGAAUUUUUUGGUUACACCCAGAAAAUAAGGCAAUGUGUGAGAUGGUGCUGAGAGUGUAGAUCUGAAGAAGGUCACUGUGUGACUGUGUGAAGAUCUACAAAGGGUUUGAAGAAGAAUUUGGCUUAAUGAGCACGCGUAUGUUUUUCUUUUUUCUAGUCCUAAAAAUGGUGGUUUCUUUGUGGGUUUCUGUUCUCAGGUCUCAAUUGUACUUCUAUUAUUAAAUCUACAAAGGGUUUGAAGAAGAAUUUGGCUUAAUGAGCACGCGUAUGUUUUUCUUUUUUCUAGUCCUAAAAAUGGUGGUUUCUUUGUGGGUUUCUGUUUUUGACUCUCUCUCAGACUCUAUUUAGGAAUUCAGGUUCCUUUUUGUUUGUUUGUUUUGCUUUUUCACCUUUCUUUUUUAUUUUUAUUUUUAUUUUUUACUUUUGUGUUUUCAAUGGUCCAAGAUGUCUACUGGUACUAGCCUACUCUACAAUAUGAUUGGAGGUGGGCUGAGGGUUUUUGGUUUUUGAGGCAGGAAGAAUCUAGAAGAAUAUUCUGAAAACUAUUUAAUGUUUUUUUUUCUUAAAAUUUUAUUCAUCUUGACUUUUUUCUCCCUGAAUAUAAAAUACUUUGUAUAUUUUCACAGACACUAUUGUUCGAUUUUUACUUUUGAGCUUGAUUAGUUCGAAUUCUUUAGAAAGUUCACUUUAAAAGUAAAACGUUCCCUGCCAACUUUAAUUUCUAUAGGUUGAAAGCAAACUUAUCGGGCCUAAUUAGUUCGAAUUCUUUAGAAAAUUCAUUUUAAAAGUAAAACGUUUCAUGUCAACUCUAUUUUCUAGAGCUCGAAAGCAAACUUAUCGAGCCUGAUUAGUUCGAAUUCUUUAGGAAGUCCAUUUUAACAGUAAAACGCUCAAUACCAACUCUAUCAACUAAAGCUUGAAAGCAAACUUAUCGGACCUAAUUAGGUCGAAUUCUUUAAAAAGUCCACUUUAAAAGUAAAACGCUCCCUACAAACUCUAUAUCCUAGAGCUUGAAAGCAAACUUUCGUUGUUGGAUGAUGGAGAGUAUUUCACCACAACCUUUGGUGGUUAUUCAUAUUUUUAGAAUUUAAACUUCUGUGAUAAAUAUAAUACCAAUUCUCCAAGGUUCCCAUUGUUGUUAUGCAAGAUAUGUUUAAUUUUUUUAAUUAAUCAUAGACUACUAUUUUAAUAAAGAAUAACUGUGAUUUUAGAGAAUUUUAUUCGAAAACUCGAGCAAUUUAUUUUGGUAGAGGUGAAAUAACCCUAGAUAAAGUAUAUAAUGGUAUAUAUAAUUGGUUCAUAAAGAUGACAUCAACUAAAUUCAGGUUAAGGUGUCUAAUUAAUAAGCUAACAUAUUCUAUAAUUCUUUCUCUAUGACAUUAUCUCCGCCUAACUUUGCCAUUUAGAUGAAUGUGUAAGGUAUUCAUUGACUUUUGGUUGUUUAAUUUUGACAUUAUAUCCAACAACAAAUUCAUUUAUAGUAGUGGUUAACUUAAAAAACGUAACUAGCAUGUUAUUUACUUCUAUUAUGAAAUAUAGAAAUAUUUACUUGCACUAGUAUUUAUGAAUGUGCGUUGCACGUUAAUAAUCGCACGUAGAUAUUCAGUUUAUUUAAUAAUUGUACGUAUAUUCGGUCAAUAAUUAAUAUUUCGCCUUGAAGAUUUAUAUUUUAUAAUAAUAUUAAUUAUCAUAAUUAAUAUAAUUGCAUGUAGAUAUGUGUCAAAUUAUACGAAAUGCAUAUUGAGAGUAAUAAACUUGCAAUUGCAUAAAUAUUCUAAAUUGUUAUUAAACGUAUAUGAGAUUCAAUAACAUGUUUCAUAAAAUAAAAGAAAGAAUAUAUUAUAUAAAUAACACUUAUUCAUUGAUAAAUCUUUGACACAGUUAAAGUUAUGCAAUUAAAAUUGUAAAGAUACUGAGGGCUCGUUUGGUACGACAGACAAGGGAUAACUAAUCCGAAAUUAAAUUUAAGAUGAGUUUAUUCUAUGUUUAGUUGGAAUAAAAUUACGGUAAAACUAUUUCCGAGAUUAGUUAUUUCGGGGUUAUAAUGCUAUUUUAUUAAUCAGUGGCCAUUUGGACAUAAGAGUUGUGAAAUUCAGGAGAGUUGUGUUUGAACAUGAGUUUUGUGAUAUGUUUUUGAAUUUGUGAGUGAUUUGAAGUGAAAAUUUUGGAAAAUAACUUUCUGGAUAAAAUUUUCGAAAAAAAAUCUGAAAUUCAUCUUUAAGUAAAAUUUAAAAUUGUUAUGGUCAAACACUGAUUUCGAAAAAAGUAAAAAAAUUUGGAAAAAAGUAAAUUUUUUUAAUGGCCAAACAAUCCCGUAAUCUUGGAAUAACUUGUUUUCUAACCAAACAAUCCCUAAGAAUACAAUAGUUUUUAUCUUUUUUAUGCGAUAGUAUAUUUUAACUCAAGUAUACAAAAGUCAUAUCAUAACAUUUCGUAUACAAAAUCUGUUUGCGUUGGAUAAACAUUGUCCAUAUUAUUUGAAGUAUGAAUAGACCAGCGAAGCAAAGAUCUUCAACUAUUUGGCUCUUCGAUUUUCAUUCCUUUUUUGGUAGUAUUAUUUUAUUUCUGGUAUGAAAAUUAAUGCUUUUAAGGUGAAUCAAAUUGGGUUUAUAUGUAGACUGUAGUAUUAUUUUUUCUAUAAUAUAAAAUAUGUUAUAGAAUUUAGAGAGUGGUUCAAAAGCACAUACUUGAAAUUUAGAAUUCCAUAGAGCAUUAUUCUACAAAUUAUAAAUAUAAUAUUAUGAUUAGAAUAAUAGGAUGAUUAAAUUCGCCUCUGCUCAUGUGGGCUUUAAGUUUAUUAGGAUUUUUUGACCAAUAUCAUUUACACAAAAUAAAGAGGAAAAGUAUAUAUAAAGUUUAUGGAUAAUCCAAAUAAAAUGAACAGAAAAAUUUACAAAAAAAAGUAAUAACCUUGCCCUAUAAAUUUUCUUAAUCAGGGAGAGACAUAAUAUCUUAUUUUUGUUUAGUGUUUUUUAACAAAUAACAUAAAAAUAAACAUACAAUAGAAUAACAUAAUAAUAUAUUUUGAAACCUAAAAAUAUAGUAUUAAAAAUAUCAGAAAAAGUUCACACAGUACAAAUCUCACAUAAGCUUUAAUUAAUCAUUCUCUCCGGAAAACAUCUAAGUUAAGAAAAUAUUUUUAUUUUUUCUAAAAAAACUAAAAGUAAAAAGGAGUACUCUUAAUUAAGAGAAUACUGUUUUCUUUUUUAAAUUCUUCAAAAAGAAUAUAUAGAUGAAUAUCACAUUAUAUUCCUUUAUUAUUUUAUUUUAUUUGCAAGAAUUUAAUUUAAAAAAUAAUAAUGGUUGGACAACAAGGUUAAAUUACGUAGAUAUGUUGGCGACUUUACCUUAAAAUAUUACAGCUAUGGUUACUUCGAGUAAAAAAAUAAUGUGUAAUAGAUAAGUUGGCGAUCUUACAUUGAAAUUUUACAGCUACUUUGCUUUCAAUAGUUAUUCCGAAUUAUUAUAUUUAUUCGUGCUUUCACAAUAAUAUGUAGAUAAUAUACAUGUCAUUAGUUGUCGUUAUCCUUCAUCUAACAUGGAGAAAUAAGGUCAACUUUUUAUCUAGUUACACCAUAUAUUUUCCAGAAAACUUUUAGCUAAUACUUGUUUAUAUUAUUUUCAUGGUUAUACAGUAGAACCAGCAAAUGGGCAAGUAGAUAGUAAAAGUCUUUUUCCUUCUUUUUUUUCCAUCCGGUGUUGGAUAUUGCCCAUUACUCGCAGGGUAUCAAUUAAUCUUGAUUCAUACCACAUAAGAGGUCCAUUAAAGGAGAAAGUGCUUCUAACAAAAUUUUUCAAAAAUAAUAAUUUAGUAUUCGAAGCUGAAAUCUCUAAUUAAAAGUGAAGAAAUUCUAUUUAUUCUAUCCCACUAUUUAAUGGUAAAGAUACAGUCAAACAUCUCUAUAACAGCUUUGUUUGUUUCGAAUAUAUUUGUAUGACAUAGUGAAAUAUAAAAUAAUUAUUAUUAUAUAAUAUAAAACUUAAUUCUGAAAAAUCUUAACUUUUAUAGUGAAGUGUUAUUAUAUAAAAUAAUAUUAUAAAAAAGUCUGACUGCAAUAAAAAUCUCAUAUUAGUUUUAGCUAUGAAAAAAAUUACUGUCACAGUAACAAUAAAGUGUGUUAAAGAAAACAAAAUUUGACUUUUCAAAUAUUAACAAUUUAGCAUAAUAAAAGAUAUUCAAAUACACGUAGCCGCGCGUUUACACCUAAAAGUGAAGAUCAUUAAUAUACCCAGUAGACUUAUGGCUCAUUUGGUGCCAACCCUAGGACUUCAGGCUUGGCCGCUUGGGGACAGCUGCCAUGGACGAAUAUAUAUAUAUAUAGCUAAGGGGGACGAGCUAGAGUAUUAAGCACGGAUUGGGACGAAUUUAGUGGCUUUUGUUAUAAUACUUUAUUUUUAUUAGAAAAUUUAUUAAAUAUAUAUAAAUAUUUAAUUGUAAAUUGUGGGUUCGGUGGUAAAUUUAAAAUCUAUAAAUUUAAAAUUCUGGCUCGACCAAUGAAUGACGAGUCACUUAACUUAAUCAAAUACAAUAUAUAUAUCCAUAUCUAUAUCUAUAUCUAUAUCUAUAUCUAUAUCUAUAUCUAUAUCUAUAUCUAUAUCUAUAUAUCUAUACUAUAAUAAUAAUAAUAAUAAUAAUAAUAAUAAUAAUAAUAUUAUUAUUAUUAUUAUUAUUAUUAGAUUAAAAACACAAAGACCUUUAGCGAAAUGUUGUUCAUCUUUUUUACCCUUUAAAAUUAAAGUUUACACUAGAUGAAAUAGUCAUUUAAUUAUAUUUUAAAUAUUUAGAAAUAUUUAUUUAAUUAAUUUCCUACUAUUUAAGAAUAGUCAUUUAAUGAACCUCCUAAUAUCUAGGACUUUGAAAUCAACAACAAUAACAACAAUCCAAUAAAAUUCACAAGUGAGAUCUGGGGAAGGUAAUAUGUACGCAGAAAUUCUCCCAACUCCGGGGCAAAGAGGUUGUUUAACUUUGAAAUCAACUAAACUUGAUAUAUUAGUAAAUUGUUCCUUAUUUUAAUUAUGUAGAUUAAUUCCACCCCAAUAUUUUAUCUUAAACGUGUUAACAUUGUGACUCAAGGUUGUUGUCACUUUUUUAUUUUGGCUUUUUACUUAAACGAGUGGGGUGGGAUUUGGAUUUUUACACUCUAAUAAAGUGGUUAAAAAUAAUUAAAAUUUAAAUUUUAUUAUAAUCAUAUGUUGGUCAAAAUUUUUGCCCACUAUAGUUUAAUUAUCUUUCUAAUAUUUAAAGUUUUAAAAAAUAAAUAAAAUUAUCUACGUGAAGAUAUUUUUAUUCUUUGAACAUAGAAUUCUUAUUGGAUAAUAACAUGGUUAUAGUUAACUAUUAAACUUGGAAUGAGCUAAUAUUAAGAAUUUGAGUGAAGAAAAAUUAUUUCCUCUAAUUUCAAGAAUGAAUAAUUAAGCUUUUAAAUUAAUUUAACAAAAUUAGUUUUAGAGUCGACUAACUAGUUAGAAAAUAAAAUUUAAUUAUUUUACAAAUUCAUCAUAUAAGUAAUACCAAAAUUUGUAUUGUACAUAAUAGUAUGGUAAAAGAAAUUAAAAAAAAAAACAAAAGUAGUUACAAUAUAAUAUUGUGACGAUCCAAAGGUCGUCACCGGAUUCCUUCCUUUUAUCGUGCUUUCGAGGCUUUGAAAAUAUCGCUUUUAGUUGCAUUGAUUUGUGUGCGCAGUCCGGACCCGUAGCCGUAAAGCUUUUAUGUUAAAAUAUGUAAAUUUUGUGAUUGAAGAAUUUUGAUAUUAAUAUUGUUAAAAUUGAUUUCGGUCAACAUUUGGAGAAAACGGACCCAGACCCGUGAUGUGACGGCCCCGAAGGUUCAGUAAAAAAAUAUGGGACUCGGGCGUAUUCCCGAAAUCAAAAUCCGAGGUCCCGAGCCCGAGUAAAGAAUUUUUGAAAGAAAUUAGUUUCUGAAAUUUGAUACGAAAUUUUGAAAUGAAAAUAAGUUAGCAAAAUAUAGGUAUCGGCCCGUAUUUUGGUUCCGGCGUCCGCUACAAGUCUUAAAUAUGCUUAAACAUUUUCUAUGAAAUUUGAUCAAAAUCGAACAUCGUUUGACGUAUUUCGGACCUAAAUAUCUAAAGUUGGAAGUUUAUGAACUUAGAAUGAAAAUGAUGCUUUUUGAGGUUUGAUUCAUUGAUUUGAUGUUAUUUUUGAUAUCUGAUCGCUCGACUAAGUUUGGAGGAUGUUAUUGAGUUACUGUGUGUGUUUGGUUGGGAGCCCAGAGGGCUCGGGAGUGAUUCGGGGUAGUUUUACACUUUGAAAACACAUAAGAUUUUUCAGAUGUUGCAUACCAGGUUUUGUUCUACGCGAACGCGGCCCUAGGCUCGCUUUCGCAUUGCUCUGUCAUUUCCCCUUCCGCGUCGCGUCCCUCCUUCGCGUUCGCAUAGCCUUGCACUCCUCUUCAACGCAUUCUCAUACCUCCCCUCGCGAACGUUUAGACCAAACCUGGACCCCCCCCCCCCUAAGUUUCCGUUCUAUGCAUUCGCAUAGCAUCAUCGCGAACGCGACCUCUGUGUCGCGAGCGCAUAGAGCAAAGUGCACCAAUGAUUUUUUUUAAAAAAUAGAACUUUUCGUUACAGGAUUUCUUUACUUCUUCUCACGAGCUCCCUUCUCCAUCAAGCCUUAGGACUCCAUUGAAGCUCCCAUCUUCCAAUACCUUUUGGGUAAGUAAUUCAACGCUUAUUUCCUUCACUUUUCUUCAGUAAUUAGUAAAAUCCUAAGCCGAAAAUUAUGAAAUCAAGUAGAAAUUAGGGCUUUUAGGUAGAGUUGGAUUUUUGGGGAUUUUAGGUUAUUUAACCUCAAUUUGGGGUCGAAUCUUGAAAUAAAUUAUAUAUUUGAACUUGUGGGAUAAUGGGUGAACGCAUUUUGGUCCGAGCCUCGAGUUCGUACCAUGUGGGCCCGGAGUCAUAUUUUGGUAUUUUUGGAAGAAUGUUAGGGACUUCAUUUCUAGGCUAUGGGAUUUUGUUUUUGAGUCUUUAUUGAUAUUAUUGAAUUGAUUAUUCCUAGAUAUAGUUGUUUUGGAGUCGGAUUAUAGAGGAACGGCGGUAUUGGAGAGUUGAUUGCUAUUCUUAGACCGAGUUAAGUGUUUGUUCUAACUUUGGUUAGAGUGAAUUGGAUUAGGAUACUAUUUGCUAAUUGCUAAAUGAAGAGUACGGUGUAUAAGCAUGGUGACAGUUAUCUAUACAGCGGAGUGUAGCAUGACUCUGGGUCUUAAAUGUGUUUGAUCCGGACUUUGUAAAAUAUCUUUCUUGUCUAAUUUCUAAGUUUCAUAUAAUGUGAACGGUUGAGGAAGAACUGUCAAUUGUAUAUUAUUGGAGCGUUGUCUCGAACUAAAAUUUGAUAAUUGAGAAAUAAGUGAUUAAAAGAGAAAGUGUGGUGACGUUUCCCUUGCCGGGACACGUAGUCUAUUAUUAUUGUUGCUCCCUUGCCGGGAUAUUUGGGCUGUUAGUUGUACCCUUGUCGGGUUAAAUCGUUAUGUUAUUAAAUUUCCCAAAUGGGGCCUCUUUUAGAAAUAUUAUUUGUUAUUCACUACUAAAUGGGAUAGUGUGGCGUGUCCUCUACUUAUGAACUAUGAUAUGGGAUCGUGUGGCACGCCGUCCACAUGUGAGUUUUCAAAUGGGAUCGUGUGGUGCGCCGACCACUUAUGAAUACAUAUUUUGGGAUCGUGUGGCACGCCGUCCACUUAUGAAUUUUGAAAUAGAAUCGUGUGGCACGUCGUCCACUUAUGAACUAAGAAAUGGGAUCGUGUGGCGCGCCGACCACUUAUAUAUGAGUUAUGGUAUUGAGAUAGUUUUAUUAUUAUAUACGUUGAUCUGUUUUCACUGUUUCUUCCCCGAGCAUGCCCCUUCCCCUUUUUAGUUGAUGCACUAUAUUGUUAUUUCCGUUGCCUUUGUCUAUAUAUAUAUAUUUGCACGGGUUAUUUUUGGUAGGUUCUGUCUAGCCUCGUCACUACUUCGCAGGGUUAGGGCAGGAACUUACCAGCACAUGGGGUCGGUUGUGCUGAUGCUAUACUUCUAUGCUUUUUGUACAGAUUAUGGUACCGGAGCAGCUUUUAGACCACGACAGUAGCUUACUGAUCGGGAGUUGACUUCAGAACAUGGACAUACGAGGUAGCCCAGUUGGAGUUCACAAGCCGGAGUCUCUUUCCAUGUUUUAGUUUGUUUUCAUUGUACCGAGACAGAAAAUAUGUAUAUCGUCACUACUUCGCCGUGUUUAGGCCACACACUUACCAUAAUGGGGUCGGUUGUGCUGAUGCUACACUUUUAUGCCUUUUGCACAGAUUACGAUAUCAGAGCAGCUUUUGGACCACAUCAGUAGCUUAUUGAUCGGGAGCUAACUUCAGUCCAGAGACUUACGAGGUAGCCUAGCUGGUGUUCGCAGGCCGGAGUCCCUUUCCAUGUUUUAGUUUGUUUUCAUUGUACCGAGACAGACACUAUAUUUUUUUCUAUUCAGACUUGAUUGUAGUACUCUUUAGUAGUCCGUGAGCUAGUGACACUACAUUUUGGGUAGAGAUUUGUCUUAAACUUUCGCAUUUAGAUUUCAGUUUUAUAAGUUUGAAGUUUUCCACUUUUAUUUAAUUGCUUUCGUAUAUUUAUAUUAUUGAGAAAUUAUCUGAGAAUGUUUAAUAUUUGGCUGGCCUAGCUCCAUUAGUAGGCGCCAUAACGACUCCCGAUGAUAAAAAAUCCGGGUUGUGACAAGUUGGUAUCAAAGCACUAGGUUACAUAGGUCUCACAACUCAUGGACAAACUCGGCAGAGUCUGAGGGAUCAGUACGGAGACGUCUGUAUUUAUACCUAGAGGCUACAAAGUUAGAAAAAAUUCACUUUGUUCUUUCUGGUCAUGCGAUUCUGUUUGUCAAUACUGAUUGUCGUUCUACGCUGUUCUUUCACAAAUGGUGAGAACACGUGCUUCCUCUUCUACCGCGCAGCAGCCUGAGCCCCUUGCAGCAGCUCCUAUCAGGGGUAGAAGUUGAGGCCGAGGUCGUGCCAGAGGUUGAGGCCGAGGUCGUGCCAGAGGCCGAGGCUAGGGCAGAGCUCAACCCCAAGCAGCAGUUCCAGAGGUGGAGCCUCAUGUUGACUAUGAUGAGGAGGUUCCAACACCAGCACCUCUAGUGGGCCCAGCUCAGGUCCCAGAGGGUUUCAUAGCCACUCCAGUACUCCAGGACGCUUUGGUCGGAUUGGUAGGCUUUAUGAGAGCGUCUCUAGAGCGGGUUUGCUUCCAGUAUCACCAGCCACAUCUCAGGCUGGGGGAGGAGUUCAGACUAUCGCUUCACGUACUUUGGAGCAGGUAGCUCCUCAGGCUCAGGUUCCAGUGAUUUAGCCAGCUGCGGUGGCUCAACUUGCUAUUCCAACUCACACCGGUGAUGGUGCGGCGAUGUCCGCGGAUGCUUUGUGGAAACUUGAUAGGUUCACCAAGCUCUUCACCACCACCUUCAGCGGUGCUCCUAUAGAGGACCCCCAGGACUUCUUAUUCGUUUUCCAUGAGGUUCUCCGGACUAUGGGUAAUGCGGAGACCAAUGGGGUCGACUUUAUCACCUUUUGGCUUGCAGGAUCCGCCAAGACUUAGUGGAGGGACUAUUGUUUAUCCAGGCCAGCAGGGUCACCGUUGUUGACUUGGAACCAGUUUGUAGAGUUGUUCUUGGAGAAGUUUCUCCCAGUGACCGAGCGAGAGGCUCUACGCAGUAGUUUAAGCGUCUUCAUUAGGGUACUAUGAUAGUCAGACUGUAUGAGACUCAUUUUAUUGAUUUGUCAUGCCAUGUUAUUGUAAUACUCGCCACUGAGAGGGAGAGGGUGCGGAGAUUUAUUGAUGGGUUGAUUCAGCCGAUCCGAUUCUAGAUGGCUAUGGGAGCCGGUCGUGAUAUUUCUUUUCAGGAGGCAACCAAUGCGGCCCGUAGGAUAUAGAUGGUACUUGCACGAUGGGGUGGUCAGGGGUCAGAUAAGAGGCCGUCAUUCUCGUAGGUUCGCUGGUACCUCAUCUGGAGGUAGGGAUUCAUAUGGUAGAAGCCAUCCUCUGAGGCCCUUUUGGUCAGCCCUACAAGUUUAAUAUGGUACUAUAGGUGGUCGUGGUUCCCAGCCACAGUAUUCUGACCAGCAGCUUUCUAGCUCAUCAUCAGCACCUAUCAGUGCACCACGACUCUGUUAUUCUCAGCAGCCAAGGGAGGGCUUGUUACACGUGUGGCGACACGAGACAUAUUGCCAAGUAUUGCCCUUGAGCAUCUGACAACUCUCAGCAGUGUCCUCGUCCCAUGAUUCAGGCAGCAGGUGAUCCAUAGUCCUCCAGCCAGCUAGAGGCGGGGGUAGAGGCCUUAGAGGUGGAGGUAGGGAUCAGAGAGGUAGAGCUCGGACUGCCAGAGGUAGGGGUCAGCCAGUAGCCAAUCGUCCCAAAGACAUAGUUCAGGGAGGUGGGGCCCAACCCCGGUGUUAUGCUUUGCUAGCCAGGCCUGAGGCUGAGUCAUAUGAUGUUGUCAUUACAUAUACUAUUCUGGUAUGUGAUAGAGGUGCUUCAAUGCUAUUUGACCCUGGAUCUACGUAUUCAUAUGUGUCAUCCUAUUUUGCACCCUACUUGGUUAUACCUAGCAAUGCCUUGAGUGUUCCUGGUUAUGUAUCUACAUUGGUGGGUGAUUCUAUAGUGGUCGACUGAGUGCAUCGUUCAUGUGUGGUAGUAGUUUACUGUCUUGAGACUCGUGUUGAUAUUACUCUUAGAUAUGGUGGACUUCGACGUUAUAUUGGGGAUGGAUGGAUUGUCCCCGUGUCAUGCUAUCUUGGAUUGUCACGCCAAGACCGUGACCUUGGCUUUGCCAAACUUGCCCCGACUUGAGUGGAGAGGGACCCCAGGUCAUGCCACUUGCAGUGCUAUUUCGUAUGUCAAGGCUCAACGUAUGGUUGACAUAUCUAGCGUAUGUUUGUGACUCCAACGGAAAGGUUCCAUCUAGUGACUCUGUCCCUGUUGUUCGGGAGUUAGGGGUGUAGCAUAUCUGGCAUAUGUUCGCGACUCCAACGCAGAGGUUCCUUCCAUUAAUUAUGUUUCUAUUGUUCGGAGUUCCCCGAGGUUUUCCCUUCAUACCUGUCGAGUAUGCCGCUCGAUAGGGAUAUUGAUUUCUGUACCGAUUUGGCUCCGGGCACUCAUCCUAUUUCCAUUUUGCCGGAUCGCAUGGCCGCACCAGAGUUGAAAGAGAUAAAGGAGCAGCUUCAGGAUUUGCUUGAUAAGGGUUUUAUUAGACCCAAUGUGUCGCCUUGGGGUGCGUCGAUGUUCUUUGUGAAGAAAAGGGAUGGGUUGAUGAGGAUGUGCAUUGAUUACCGGCAGUUGAAUAAGGCGACGAUAAAGAACAAGUAUCCACUACCGAGGAUUGCCAAUUUAUUUGACCAGCUUCAGGGUGCGAGGGUAUUCUCGAAGAUAGAUUUGAGAUCUGGUUAUCAUCAUAUGAGGAUUAGGGCAUUCGAUGUCCCUAAGACAGCAUUUUGCAUUCGGUAUGGGCAUUAUAAGUUUUUUAUCAUGUCAUUUGGGUUGAGCAAUGCCCCAGCAACAUUUAUGGAGUUGAUGAACAGAGUUUUGAGGCCCUAUUUGGAUUUGUUUGUGCUUGUUUUCAUUGACGAUAUUCUGAUAUACUCCCUCAGUCGGGAGGAGCAUGAGCAGCACCUCAGAGUGGUUCUUCAGACUCUGAAGGAUAGUCAGUUAUACGCCAAGUUCUCAAUGUGCGAGUUCUAGUUAAGUUCUGUUGCAUUCUUGGGUCACGCUAUUUCAGUAGAAGGUAUUAGGUGGACCCUAAGAAGAUUGAGGCAGUCAAGAAUUAUCCUCGACCGGCAUCAGCUACAGGGAUUCAGAGUUUCUUGGGGUUAGCAUGUUACUAUCGACGGUUCAUGGAGGGGUUUUCAUCUAUUGUAGCCCCGAUAACCAGGUUGACCGACAAGGGUGCUCAGUUUAGGUGGUCAGAUGAGUGCGAGGCAAGCUUCCAGAAGCUCAAGACAUCUCUAACUAUAGUACUGGUAUUGGUUUUGCCCACAGGAUCAUGGCCUUAUACCGUUUAUUGUGAUGCAUUCCAUAUUGAGCUUGACGCAGUAUUGAUGCAGGAUGGAAAAGUCAUAGAUUAUGCUUUCAGGCAGCUGGAUGCACGGGAAGAAUUAUCCAGUCCAUGAGCUAUAGUUGGCAGCCAUCAUUCAUGCUUUGAAGAUCAUUAUCUAUAUGGUGUGACGUGUGAGGUGUACAUAUAUCACAAGAGUCUUCAAUACUUGUUCAAGCAGAAGGAGUUGAAUUUGAGGCUGAGGAGGUAGUUGGAGUUGUUGAAAGACUGUGAUGUUUCUAUAUUAUACCACCCGGGGAAGGCCAAUGUGGUGGCCGAUGCAUUGAGUAGGAAGUCCGACAGCAUGGGUGUCUUGCUUAUAUUCCGGUCAGCCAGAGACCGCUUGCUUUGGACGUUCAGGCCUUGGCCAAUCAAUUUGUGAGGUUAGAUAUUUCUGAGUCUAGUAGGAUGUUAGCUUGUACCGUCCUCGAUCACAUUGUUGGAGUGUAUCCGUGAGUGGCAGUUUGAUGAUCCAGAUUUGUGUGUCCUGAGAGACACGGUACAGCGUGGAGGUGCCAAGAAAGUGACCUUGGGAGAUAAUGGUGUAUUGAGAUUGCAAAGGCGAGUUUGUGUGCCAAAUAUUGAUUGUAUUCAGGAGUCGAUCUUAGCUAGGGGUGUUCAAAACCGAUUUGAAACCGAAAAUCGAUUGAAAUCGAAGCUUAAUGGCUUACUGGUAACGGCUUAACGGACGGGAAACAGAUUGAAUUUUUUUUAUUAACAGCUAAUCGGAUUGGGGACGGAUUAUUUAAUUUUCUUAACGGGUAACCCGUUAACCCGUUAACCCGUUAAGAAUAUAAAUAUAUUAAAAAUUUAUUUUGAUUUAUAUACAUUAAUUAUAAAAAAUUAAAACCCUUGAAAGUUGAAAAUGAAUAAUAAAAUCAAACAAAGUUAUAAAUUACAUUAUUAGUUUAUCACAAUUUAGCAAACCCGUAUCCGUAUGUAUGUUCUCAUUUGUGUCAUUUCUGUCUCUUCUCACUUCUCAGUUCUCAGUUCUCUCUACUGUCAAGUCUCUGUCUCUAGAGAAACCCUAACAAGUAAUACCUAGCAGCCACCGCCCGACGCAAGCAGCAGCCGCCGCCCGGUGCAAGCAGCAGCCACCGCCCGUCGGUCUUCCCCUCGCAGGUAAUAACAUUCCUUAGCCACUUGAUAUAUUUUGAUUUGAGAUAGAUAUAAAUCAAUUGAAGAAGAGAACUUUUUUGGUGUAGACUGAGUCUGAGAUACCCUUUUUAUUUCAAUUAGUUUACAACUUGAUGUCUUUAUUAUCACUCCUUUUCUUUUGUUGGUGUAGUGACUCAUACAUGGUUGAAAAUAUACAAAGUGAUAAGGUGAUGAUGGGUGAAAGUGGGGCUUCUAAUUCAAAUGCAAUAAGUCAAGCUCAAACAACAGAUUCAAAUAUAACCAAAAAAAGGAGAAAAAUAUCAGUUGUGUGGGAUCAUUUUGCAGAAAUUGUUACUUCUAAAGGGAGUACAAAAGUAAAAUGUGACUAUUACUUUCAUGAGUAUGUAUUUAAGACCAAGGAUGGUACAUCGAAACUUCUUAAGCUUAUGCUUAAGUGUCCUAAACGCCCUGCUAUUAUUGAUAAAAAAUAAUCAAAUUUAGGCUUUCAAUCUGCUCCGGGGGUAGUCAGGGUGACGUAGUUGUUGUUACUUGGAAAUUUGAUCAAGAAGAAUGUAGGAAGGCAUUAUGUCGUACGAUAAUAGUUGAUGAGCUUCCUUUUAGCUUUGUUGAGAAAGAAGGUUUUAGAGACUUUAUGAAUGUGGCGCAACCUUAUUUUCGGAUCCCUUCACUUAGUAAUGUAACUAGAGAUUGUUUUGAUCUUUUUAAUGAAGAAAAGUAAAAGUUGAAGAGGCUCUUUAUAGAAACAAAACAAAGAGUAUGUAUUGCCGCUGAUACCUGAACAUCUAUACAAAGAAUCAAUUACAUGUGUAUCACUUCUCAUUGGAUUGAUAGUGAAUGUAAUAUGCAUAAGAGAAUAAUUAAUUUUUGUCCUAUUGUUAGUCAUAAAGGCGAAGAUAUGGCAAAUAGUAUUGGUAGGUGCUUACGUGAGUGGGGGAUAAAUAAGAUCUUCACUGUCACAGUUGAUAAUGCAAGCUCAAAUGAUGUGACAGUAAAGGAAUUUUCUAAGCAAUUAACAAAAAUAGGAACUAAUUUGAUGAAUGACACUCACCUUCACGUGAGAUGUAUGGCUCACAUCAUGAAUCUUGUGGUCCAGGAUGGUUUAAAAGAAUCUUCAGUAUCUAUUGAACGUGUUAGGCAUGCGGUAAGAUAUGUUAGGAUGUCUCCUUCAAGGUUAAAGAGGUUUCAAGAAUGUUUUGAUGUUGAAAAACUCAAUUCUAAGAAACUUUGUGCUUAGAUCUCCCAACUAGAUAGAAUUCCACCUACUUGAUGUUGCGCGUGAGAUGUAUUAGGCAGUCUCCUGCAAGGUUGAGAGGUUUCCAGAUUGUUUGAUGCUGAACAACUCAAUUCUAAGAAAAGUUUAUGCUUAGAUGUUCCAACUAGAUGGAGUUUCACCUACUUGAUAUUGCGUAGGGUUGUUGAAUUUGAAAAUACAUUUUCACAUUAUGCUUCUAGUGAAAUUGUCUUGAGACAUUAUCUUGAGCAUUCUUAUAUUGAUGUUGGAAUUCCUACAGGUGAACUUUUGAGCAGUGAUUGGGAGAGUGUAAAAAGAAUUACAAGGUUUCUUGAAAUCUUCUAUCUUCUUACUUUAUGGAUCACGUUAUGUUACAUCAAAUAUUCAUUUCCUUGAAACUUGUGCAGUCACUGUCUAUUUGAAGCAAUUGAUAGAAAAUGAAGAUAUAGUUUUAAGUGAAAUGGCAAAGAAUAUGAAAGAAAAGUUUGAUAAGUAUUGGGGUGAUACAGGGAAAAUGAACAAGAUAAUUUUUAUCUCAUGUAUUUUGGAUCACGUUUCAAAAUCAAAUCAGUUGGCUUUGCACUUGUAAAGAUGUUUUGGUGUAGGUCCGCGGGCAACUAUACAAGUAGAAGUGAUGAAGUACAUGGCUUCAUUUUUCAGUGGGUUCCAACUCAAAAGGUUUUGUGCUUGCUUCAUCUUCAAAUUGUUCUUCAUUGGACACUUCAACUUCUGGGCUUUCUGGCAGUCAAGCAAACACCCAACAAAAUAGGACUUUUAGAAUCACUCAUGCAAGAUAUAAAAAAUUAUCAAAGUGGGAGUGGAGGUGUUGAUACUAGAAUAGAGUUAGAUAAAUAUUUAGGUGAAGAAACUGAGAACGACACUAAAUAAUUUGAUGUUCUUCUUUGGUGGAAAUUGAACUCGGCUAGAUUUCCUAUUCUUACGGAGAUGGCUCGUGAUAUUAGCUGUUCUGCUUUCAAGUGUGGCAUCCGAAUGUGUGUUUAGUACAGGAGGACGUAUUCUUGAUUCAUUUAGGAGUUCAUUAACUACUAAAUUGGUGCAAGCUCUAGUGUGUCUUCAAGAUUGGCUUCGAAAUGAAAAUUUAAAACAACCCAUUAGUGUUGAGGAAGAUUUUUGUAAAAUUGAGCAUCUUGAACAAGGUAAUAAUAUUGUCAAUAUAUUUGUUGUAUAUAAAUGUUGUUGAUAUGCUUAUAUUAUCACGUUACUCAUUAUUCUAAAUUUCUUCUUCAGAUUUAGCUAGCAAUGGAAAAGACCCUUUUGUAAUUGACAUGUAGUCUAUUCUAUUUACUGUUGUAUUUACUGUUGAAGUUCCUGAAUUUGUAUCACGUAAGAAUUCGAAUUUAAGAAUUUACUGAUGUAUCUAUUGUAUUCAUGUAAGAAUUCGAAUUUUACUAGCAGCUGCAACCUUUAACUUAAUGAAUAGUCUUCUGGACGUGUCAUCUCUGCUUAUAUUCUCAAUAAGUUCAAAAGUUGCUUGUUUUCCAUUCAUUUGAACUCCAAACUUAAUGAAAAGACUUCAGAAGUCAUUACUGUAGCCAAGUUGUUGAAACCUCAAAUGUGAAAGUUCAUUUGCAUUAGUUUUUUAUAUGCUAAACUCAGCUUGAGCGUGUAAAUUAUUUAUAACACCAUUUAUUUUUUCAGCCUUGGGAAUGUUUGUCUUCUUCGGUGUUGUACUACUACCUGUUACUUCUACCAGUUGCUUCAACUGAUCAUAGUAUAAAGGCAGCCAAUACCACCAGCAAGCUAAACCAUUUUUCUUCUUUUCAGCAUGUUGAAGUUGAUUGUUGAGCGCCCCCUGAUUCAAGUAAAAUGGAAUUGGACAAUAUAAUUGAAGUAUGAGCUGUGUUCCUCCUAUUACAGAAAGUAUGGGACUGGAUUUCUUUUGUGUUUUUCAUGUAAUUGAAAUAGGAGAAGAAGUAUAAAUAGACCUGGACAAUGUAGCAAACACAAAAUGUGUACAAUUUGUAAAUUUCUUCUGCUUUUUACACUUUUAGCAUUGUACAAGUACUGUAAUUCGGUAUAACAUUGCAACAACAAUUUACGGCAGUAAAAAAAGUAUAAGCUUUUCGAUAACCCCCCAUAGGUAUUAAACAGAUAAACCGCCCGGUAACUGCCCGAUAAGAGCUAACCCGAUACCAAUCCGCCCGAUAUCUUAUCGGGUGGCUAACAGAUUAANNNNNNNNNNNNNNNNNNNNNNNNNNNNNNNNNNNNNNNNNNNNNNNNNNNNNNNNNNNNNNNNNNNNNNNNNNNNNNNNNNNNNNNNNNNNNNNNNNNNNNNNNNNNNNNNNNNNNNNNNNNNNNNNCAAUAUCUUAUCGGGUGGCUAACAGAUUAAUACAUUUAAAAGCCGAUAACCGUUAAGCCAGACCGUUAAGAGUAAAAAGCCUCCCAAUCCGCCUGAUAAGCACCCCUAAUCUUAGCGAAGGCCCAUAGUUCUCGGUAUUCUAUUCAUCUGGCCGCCGCGAAGAUGUUUCAGGAUUUGAGACAACACUAUUUGUGGCGCAGAAUGAAGAAAGACAUUGUUGCCUAUGUGGCUCGUUGUUUGAACUUUCAAUAGGUUAAGUACGAGCAUUAGAGGCCCGGUUGUUUAUUUCAGAGGAUUGAGGUUCCCGAGUGGAAGUGGGAAAUGAUUACGAUGGACUUCGUUUCUGGCCUUCCGAUGACUCGGAAGAAGUUUGAUAUGGUUUGGGUUAUUGUGGAUAGGCUGACCAAUUCAGAGUAUUUUGUUCCGGUUGCCACCACCUAUUCAUUCGAGAGAUUAGCUGAGGUUUAUAUCAGGGAGAUCGUUCGCCUUCAUGGGGUGCCUAUGUUUAUCAUUUUCGGAGCGGGGUCUGAAGUUUACCUCGCAUUUUUGGAGAGCAGUCCAGCAGGAGUUGGGCACCCAGGUUACAUUGAGCAUAACAUUCCAUCCUCAAACGGACGGUCAGUCCGAUCGGACAAUCCAGGUAUUUGAGGAUAUGCUUCGAGCAUGUGUCAUUGAUUUCGGAUGCUCGUGGGACCAGUUCUUGCCUUUAGCAGAGUUUGCCUACAACAACAGCUGCCAGUCCAGCAUUCAGAUGGCUCCAUAUGAGGCAUUGUAUGGUAGGCGGUGUCGGUCCCCAUUGGGAUGGUUUGAGUCGGGAGAGUCUCAGUUAUUGGGUAAAGAUCUAGUUCAGGAGGCCUUGGAUAAGGUCAAAAUCAUUCAGGACAGACUUCAGACAGCUCAGUCUAGGCAGAAGAGUUGUGCAGACCGCAAGGUCCGAGAUAUUGCUUUCAUGGUUGGGGAGCGAGUGUUGCUCCGAGUGUCGCCUAUGAAGGGCGUGAUGCAAUUCAGGAAGAAGGACAAGCUUAUCCCUACGUUCAAUGGCCCAUUUGAGAUUCUUGACCGUGUGGGAGAGGCGGCUUAUAGACUUGCCUUGUUGCUAGCUUGAAGGCCAUGCAUCUAGGCUUUCAUGUAUCCAUGCUUUAGAGGUAUCACGGUGAUCCAUCUCACGUAUUCGAUUUCAAUACUAUCCAAUUGGACAAGGAUUUGUCUUAUAAGGAGGAGCCGGAGGCCAUUUUAGACCGGCAAUUUCAACAAUUGAGGUCAAAAAGUUUUCCUUCACUGCGUGUUCACUGGAGAGGUCAGCCUCCUGAGACAUCGACCUGGGAGUCCGAGUUUGAUAUGCGGAGCCGUUAUCCUCAUCUAUUUCCCGACUCAGGUACUUUUUUCUUUUGCUCGUUCGAGGACGAACUGUUAUUAGAGGUGGAGGAUGGAUUCCUUCCAUUUUCCGUGCUCCUGAGGCUUUGAAAACCUCAUUUUUAGAUUCCUAGAUUUGUGUACGCAGUCCGGGCGCGUAGCCAGAAAGAUUUUAUAUUGAAAUAUGUGAAUUGUUUGAAACAUUUAAAGAAUUUUGAUUUAAUAUUGUUAAAGUUGACUUCGAAUAACAUUUUGGGAAAACAAACAUGCACUCGUGAUGUGACGGUCCUGGAGGGUCCAUAGAAAAAUGUGGGACUCGGACGUAUUUUCGGAAUCGAAAUCCGAGGUCCCGAGCACGAGAAAAGAAUUUUUGAAAGAAAUUAUUUUCUGAAAUUUGAUAUAUACAUUUGAAAUGAAAAUGAGUUAGAAAAUAUAGGUAUCAGGCUCGUAUUUUGAUUCGGGUGUCCGGUAUAGCCGUACAGGUCUUAAAUAUGUGUUAAGAGCUUUUUGUAAAAUUUGGUCGAAAUAGGACGUCAUUUGACGUAUUUCGGAUGUAAAUAUCUAAAGUUAGAAGUUUAUGAACUUAGAAUGAAAAUGAUGAUUUUUGAGGUUUGAUUCAUUGAUUUUAAUGUUAUUUUGGCGAUUUGAUCGCUCGACUAAGUUCGUAGGAUGUUAUUGAGUUAGUGUGUGUGUUUGAUUGGGAGCCCCGAGGGCUAGGGAGUGAUUCAAUGGUGGUUCGGGGUAGUUUUACAAUUAGAAAACACAUUAGAUUUUUUAGAUGUUGCAGACCAGGUUUUGUUCUACGUGAACGCGGCCCUAGGCUCGCGUUCGCAUUGCUCUGUCAUUUCCCCUUCCGCGUUCGCGUCCCUCUUUCACGUUCGCAUAGGCUUGCACUCCUCUUCAACGAGUUUGCAUACCUUCCCAUGCGAAUGCGUAGACCAAACCUAGACCCCCCACCCCAAGUUUCCAUUCUAUGCGUUCGCAUAGCACCAUGGCGAACGCAUAGAGUACCAGCUAGCCCCCUUCGCGAACGCGACCUCUGUGUCGCGAACGCAUAAAGCAAAGUGCUCCAAUAUUUUUUUAAAAAAAUAGAACUUUUCAUUACGGGAUUUUUUUACUUCUUCUCACGAGCUCCCUUCUCCGUCAAACCUUAGGACCUCAUUAAAGCUCCCCUUUUCCAAGACCUUUUGGGUAAGUAAUUCCCCACCUAUUUCCUUCACUUUUCUUCAGUAAUUAGUAAAAUCCUAUGCCUAAAAUUAUGUAAUCGCAGUUAAAAUUUGGGCUUUUUGGUAGAGUUGGAUUUUUGGGGAUUUUGGGCGAUUCAACCUCAAUUUGGGGUCGUUACUAAGCCUAAUAUCAUGAAAUCAAGUAGAAAUUAUGGCUUUUGGGUAGAGUUGGAUUUUUGGGGAUUUUGGGUGAUUCAACCUCAAUUUGGGGUCGAAUCUUGAAAUAAAUUAUUUAUUUGAACUCGUGGGAUUAUGGGUGAACGGAUUUUGGUACGAGCCAUGAGUUUGGACCAUUUGGGCCCGGGGUCAGAUUUUGGUAUUUUUGAAAGAAUGCUAGGGACUUUAUUUCUAAGCUAUGUGAUUUUGUUUUUGAGCCUUUAUUGAUAUUAUUUUGGAGUCGGAUUGUAGAGGAAAGGCGGUAUUGUUAGAUAAUACGCUUAACGCUAGAGGGGGGUGAAUAGCAUUAUAAUAAAAUUUAGCGUNNNNNNNNNNNNNNNNNNNNNNNNNNNNNNNNNNNNNNNNNNNNNNNNNNNNNNNNNNNNNNNNNNNNNNNNNNNNNNNNNNNNNNNNNNNNNNNNNNNNNNNNNNNNNNNNNNNNNNNNNNNNNNNNNNNNNNNNNNNNNNNNNNNNNNNNNNNNNNNNNNNNNNNNNNNNNNNNNNNNNNNNNNNNNNNNNNNNNNNNNNNNNNNNNNNNNNNNNNNNNNNNNNNNNNNNNNNNNNNNNNNNNNNNNNNNNNNNNNNNNNNNNNNNNNNNNNNNNNNNNNNNNNNNNNNNNNNNNNNNNNNNNNNNNNNNNNNNNNNNNNNNNNNNNNNNNNNNNNNNNNNNNNNNNNNNNNNNNNNNNNNNNNNNNNNNNNNNNNNNNNNNNNNNNNNNNNNNNNNNNNNNNNNNNNNNNNNNNNNNNNNNNNNNNNNNNNNNNNNNNNNNNNNNNNNNNNNNNNNNNNNNNNNNNNNNNNNNNNNNNNNNNNNNNNNNNNNNNNNNNNNNNNNNNNNNNNNNNNNNNNNNNNNNNNNNNNNNNNNNNNNNNNNNNNNNNNNNNNNNNNNNNNNNNNNNNNNNNNNNNNNNNNNNNNNNNNNNNNNNNNNNNNNNNNNNNNNNNNNNNNNNNNNNNNNNNNNNNNNNNNNNNNNNNNNNNNNNNNNNNNNNNNNNNNNNNNNNNNNNNNNNNNNNNNNNNNNNNNNNNNNNNNNNNNNNNNNNNNNNNNNNNNNNNNNNNNNNNNNNNNNNNNNNNNNNNNNNNNNNNNNNNNNNNNNNNNNNNNNNNNNNNNNNNNNNNNNNNNNNNNNNNNNNNNNNNNNNNNNNNNNNNNNNNNNNNNNNNNNNNNNNNNNNNNNNNNNNNNNNNNNNNNNNNNNNNNNNNNNNNNNNNNNNNNNNNNNNNNNNNNNNNNNNNNNNNNNNNNNNNNNNNNNNNNNNNNNNNNNNNNNNNNNNNNNNNNNNNNNNNNNNNNNNNNNNNNNNNNNNNNNNNNNNNNNNNNNNNNNNNNNNNNNNNNNNNNNNNNNNNNNNNNNNNNNNNNNNNNNNNNNNNNNNNNNNNNNNNNNNNNNNNNNNNNNNNNNNNNNNNNNNNNNNNNNNNNNNNNNNNNNNNNNNNNNNNNNNNNNNNNNNNNNNNNNNNNNNNNNNNNNNNNNNNNNNNNNNNNNNNNNNNNNNNNNNNNNNNNNNNNNNNNNNNNNNNNNNNNNNNNNNNNNNNNNNNNNNNNNNNNNNNNNNNNNNNNNNNNNNNNNNNNNNNNNNNNNNNNNNNNNNNNNNNNNNNNNNNNNNNNNNNNNNNNNNNNNNNNNNNNNNNNNNNNNNNNNNNNNNNNNNNNNNNNNNNNNNNNNNNNNNNNNNNNNNNNNNNNNNNNNNNNNNNNNNNNNNNNNNNNNNNNNNNNNNNNNNNNNNNNNNNNNNNNNNNNNNNNNNNNNNNNNNNNNNNAAGGUUCACAAUCGAUUGUCAUGUAGCUUUGAAAAAUCUGAUCCUCACUGCCUUAACACAAUCGAUUGUCAUUAGUUCACAAUCCAUUGUCAUGUAGUCUUGGCUUAACAUAAUCGAUUAUCAUAAGUACAUAAUCGAUUAUCUUAGUNNNNNNNNNNNNNNNNNNNNNNNNNNNNNNNNNNNNNNNNNNNNNNNNNNNNNNNNNNNNNNNNNNNNNNNNNNNNNNNNNNNNNNNNNNNNNNNNNNNNNNNNNNNNNNNNNNNNNNNNNNNNNNNNNNNNNNNNNNNNNNNNNNNNNNNNNNNNNNNNNNNNNNNNNNNNNNNNNNNNNNNNNNNNNNNNNNNNNNNNNNNNNNNNNNNNNNNNNNNNNNNNNNNNNNNNNNNNNNNNNNNNNNNNNNNNNNNNNNNNNNNNNNNNNNNNNNNNNNNNNNNNNNNNNNNNNNNNNNNNNNNNNNNNNNNNNNNNNNNNNNNNNNNNNNNNNNNNNNNNNNNNNNNNNNNNNNGAAGAACACACGUUUUAGNNNNNNNNNNNNNGUCUUGUGCUUGAAUCUCGUUAUCCACCAAUUGUGCGCUUGUACUUGAACUUCGUCAUAUAUCAAUUUGCGCUUGUUUGUCAUUCAUCAAAACCUACACAGAAGAACACACGUUUUAGUAUAAAGCCUUGAGAACGUGUUUCCAACAGGUAUUGCAGAGGUGGUUGCUAUUCUUGGACCGAGGUAAGUAUUUGUUUUAACUUUGGUUAGAGGGAAUAGGAUUAGGAUGUUAUUUUCUAAUUGCUAAAUGAAGAGUAUAGUGUAUAGGCAUAGUGACUGUUAUCUAUACACCAGAGUGUAGCAUGACCGUGGGUCUUAAAAAUGUUUGAUCCGGACUUUGUGAAAUAUCUUCCUUGUCUACUUGAUAUGUUUCAUAUAAUGUGAAUGGUUGAGGAAGAAUUGCGAUUGAUAUAUUAUUGGAGCGUUGUCUCGAACUAAAAUUUGAUAAUUGAGAAAGAAGUGAUUAAAAGAGAAAGUGUGGUGACUUUUCCUUGCCGGGACUAGGAGGGGUCGCUGAUUUUUGGUGUUUUUGGAUGGAGAAGAAGGAUCUGCCGCUGGCUUUCUCCGUCGGCGGCGCGACUUUGGUGUUUUGGGGUUGCCGGUUGAGGACUGGUGUUAGAGAGGUUGGAGACGACGCAAAAGGGACGGCGCUGCUGUGUGGAAGGCUGGACGGUGGACAAUGAUUGUGUUCUUCUUUAGGGCUGCUAGGUUUUUGGGGUGAAGAUGAGGCUAGGGUUUUUGUCUUCAUGAUAAAGACCAAUGGGCUUCUCGUUCCAACAAAUCUAGAAGUGUUUGGACAGUAUAAUGGAGUUUUUAGUGAUGCUUAGAUGGUUUCAUGUGGUGUUGAUUUGGAGCUUGUUUGACGUGAGGAGAUGAGGCGGCAGCCACUGGAUGGUGGCUUGGAAGGCAGCGGAGAAGUGUGUGUUCAAUUAGGGUUCAACUAGGGUCUUGGUCUUGUAUUGUUUUGUCUUCAUGAAGAAGAUGACGGAGCUUCUCCAUGUAAAAAUAUGAAUGAUCUCUAGGUCUUAGGGUGUCUAGUUAUUUUAGGAUUUUAGGGUUAGCUUAGUAGGGGCCUAGGAUUAUGGGCUAGAUCCGUAUUGUGCCAAAUAUACCUUUAAAAGUGGCUCUUUAACUCUAGUAGACUAAAAAUUAUUAACUCCUAAAAAUAAUAUACAGUAAAAUUGUGAAAUCAUUUCUAAUUAAUUAAUUCGAACUAUAUUAUGAUAUGAAGUUAAUUUUUGUAUUUUCAGGAGAUUAUACUAAAAAUAGAAAUGCGUUAAAAAUAAUAUUUUUCUAAAGAUACCUAAUACCUUAAUUAAAUGGAGAAAAAUGAAAGUAUUUUUGUAUUUUUCAAUUUUGUGAUAAAAAUAAUAUAAAAGAGUCAAAAUUAGUUGAAAUAACUAUAUUCGACCUAAACUAAGUAUUUCAAUGCUAAAAUAUGUUAAAUCUUGGGGGAGGGUCAAAAAUCACAUGUCUACAGUGCCUUGUAUAUUGUCUACCCUUUCUUGAUGCUCUUUCAUUUGGUGUCGAAGUAUUUUUUUCAUUUUUAUUUCUUCCAUAUUUCUUAGAAUGGUUGUAAGGGUAUUGUCACCUGCAUUAUUAAUAUUGUGAGUGAUAUAUAUUAUUGGAUGGAGAGGGUCGUACUUCUUGGCCGUCAUUGGUGCAACGCAAGUCCUCGCAUUUUCUCUGACUGCUUUUUGGGCGGGCUUGUUAAGGGUGUCGGUCAGUGUGUUUGUUAUCCAAGACUCAAGUAGUUUCUUCACGACAGGUGGUACCUCUUCCGUUGUGGAUGUGGAAGCCCCUUUUCCGCGGGACAUUGUGAUGCUACCAUGAGGGAGAGGUGAGCCACUUCGCCUGGGACAGGCAUUUGGCAUUACAUCUUUUUUUUUUUGGUAAUCCACUAGGCAAGAGCCUAGGGCUAGGUUUUUAUUAAUAGCAAACAAGAAAAUACAAUAAUUAGGAAAAGUACAAAUAAAGGGCAUUAACACCAGUAUUGUUACCCAUAUAACACAUACCAGGCUAAACUUACCAUACUAAAUCCUAUUGAGGCUUGACAACCUCACUAAUUAACAGGAAUGCAACAAUACGAACUUGACAGAUCCAAAUAUGUUAUAAUCAUCACAGAGUUUGUAGCAUACUCUGUGAUGAGAUUACAAAUGAGUAUACUAACAAAGCGGCAGAUUAAAAUGAUGUCCCUUUUUGUCGAUUCUUGCAAUUUCUUCAAUUUGUAAUUCUUUAUCACCAUCGUCCCAAUUCUUCAAGAAGUUUUCAAAAAUCAUGAUUUCAUUUUAGAUUGAUUGGACUUUGUUGACGUAGUUGGGGCGGCCUGAUUAAGCUUAGUAUUUCUCAUCGGAGGUCAUCUAACAUUGUCGUCCCUGCUCUUUUCCUUUGUUUGAGACUUUUGUUCCUUUAUAGCGAUAAUUUGGACUAUUUUGACACAUUGUGGCACCAUUUCAAUUAUGUCACCUUCUUCCGAUGUCCGAUGAUUUGACAUGUGUAAAACACCUGGUGCAUCCAAUUUUGGUACAUCUUGUGAUUUAAUAUCACUUUGCUUGAUUUGUUGUUGUACCUCAUUCCUUCUCCUAUUUGCACGUUUAGUGCUAUAAGGAUCACGACACAAAAUUUCAAAGGGAUGUGCAUUUAGCAUUGCAUCCAACAGUUGUUUAUCAUGGGAUAAAAAAUCUGUUGUAUUGGUCAUACUUAUUGGUUUUUGCCCAAAAUUGACGAGAAGCUGUGUAUUACUACAGGAUCCUACUUCCUCCGAUGUGCUCAAUUCUUCAUUACUUUCAUAUCCUCGUUCGUCACUGGCUCGAGACACCACCUUGUCCAAAGAAUCCAAUAGUCUUCUUUCCUCUGCUGAAAUGAUUGCACUAGUUUGAACAACAGCUGUUUUGCCACUGCCCGAAAUAGAUGAGGCCAACGCUUGACCAUUUAGCUCAAGAUUUUCGGAAAUUUUCAAUUAGACACGGCUGGCCACAUGGUUAUUAUUCAAAUUUUGCACAGAAGUAGCCACUUUUAAGCCCAGAUGAGCCGACACCGAAAGCAUAAUGGUUCUCUUUCAAGUGCUGUAAUAUUUCAUCAAGUUUAUUAUUAUUUAUAGAUAUUGGAUACCCAUUCAUUUUUGUUGAGCCCACAUGUUCAUCUUUACCAAAAGUGACAUUAUUAUCACUAAUGGUCAAAAGACCAAGUUGGCCCACCACCUUUUGUUCUUUUUUUCCAAAUGUUUCGGCCAUGAGUAUGGAAUUUUCAGAAUUUUGCUCAAUGUUAUCAUUAUCAUAGUGUGCAUGUGAGCCCACAAAAUCAAUUACAUGCCUCACUAGCUUGUCUUUGUUGCACACCAAUACCUAAACUUUUUUGACCUGGUGUGCCCACACCAAAAUCAUGGUGCUGCUCUUUCACACUACCUAAGUCACCCAUCUCCUUUUCCUUUACGUCAAUCUCAUGAUCAAGAUGUCCCACGUGUUUGACCACUGUUUGUUCAUCCCUGUCACUUAGAUUUGUUGUUGUAGCAACUGGAACGGAUACACCACCAUCUAUAGUUGUUCCAACUACUUGUGUUAAAUGACCAUUUGUACCCACGGUUAAUACGUUAGCCUCUAGUGGUGCCUUCACAUUCCCUUUAUCAUUUAUCGCAACAUCAAUUCGCUCUCCUUGAUCCCUUGGUAAAUCCCGUUGGUCAGUAGAAACAGGUUCUGCCUCGUGAUCCCUUGAUUGCCCAACUCUUUUGGUAUUGAGGUAAUCCCUGGCAUCACCUGUCAAUUUUUCAAGCUUACCCGAGCCUUCUACUACCUCCCAAUCAUCUGCCUCUGUCGUAUUUUCCUUGAUCUUCCAUCGACAUGACUUUUCACCAUGUCCUUGAUGCUUCUACUACCUCCCAAUCAUCUGCCUCUGUCGUAUUUUCCUUGAUCUUCCAUCGACAUGACUUUUCACCAUGUCCUUGAUGUUUAAAAACAGUGCAAUAUUUUGGUAGAUUAUCAUAAACAAUCUGUUGAUAAUAUUCUACCAACUUACCAGAUUUUAAAUCCCCAAUCUUAAUCUUUAUCCUUUUAGGGUGUUUGUCUAGUAAGUCCAGCAAAACUUUAACCCUAGAUGUACUAGGUCGCGUUCUAUCUUGUGUCGCUUUAUCAACUGCUAAAGGUUUUCCAAUCGCAGAGGCUAUGGACAUUAAAGAUUUUUUUGCAAACAAAUUUGCUGGGAGAUCAGGUAAAGAUAUCCAAAACAAUGCUUUGGAUGUUUCUUCUCUUGGAUUAAAUCCAAUUGUCCACGGAAAAGUUCUAAAGAAAAACUCUUCACCCUUAAACUUAACAUGACCAGAAGAUUUUGACAUCACUUGUACAAAAUCUUCAUAAAGAUCAAAUCUUACCAAUAUGUGCCAAUAUUUGAGCUGUCCAAUAUUGCAAAAACCUUUGAUAUCGAACUGUUUCGGAAUCAACAGUCGUAGCUCCUGAAGAUCAGGUUUUUCCAUACGAAAACUUGAAGAUAACUGCUUGGUGUAACCCCUCUUCGAUGGUGAAAGCGUUCACCUCUUCAGUGGUGAACUGAACAGCAGGUUCUCCAUGUUCGAAACUUACUGGACAAAGUUCUAGUUUUGAUGUUUUUGCAGCAGAAAAUUUUCCAGCAAUCUGUGAUGCAUACGUUAGCUUGGAAUUAUUGUUUUUUGUGUUUUGUGAGGUGUUUUGGGUUGCCUCUCCCCUCAGCCAAAGACUAGGGAGAGGUUGUUGCAGCCAUGAUUGCCCUCUAUGUGAAGAAGACGCUACUUUUUAAUAACUCCGACUCGCAUUACAUCUUCACCUUCCGUUUCAAAAACUUCGUUGAUGUUGUUUAAGAGGUUGGCGGUGAAAUCGGCUACUGCCUUCAUCCUUUCUUCUCCGUUACCUGCCAUGUUAGAUAUUUAUGU
rnacentral:lncRNA from 1 species